rnacentral:lncRNA from 1 species
UUUCUUGAACAGGUUAACUGCUUUAAUUGUUUACUUGGGCAAUGGGGUCUACAUUUUGCUGCCAAGGAACAUUCCAGACAUCCUUCUGCGUCCGGAGAAACUUCAUAUUGUCAAAGGCAAAGGAAAACUUCAGGAAGAUGGUGAAUGUUUAGCUCCGCUGAACAAUGCAGAUGUUGAAGAGCAAAUCAUAAUUUCUGAUGCUGAUGAUGAUCAAGGGCAUGAGCAAGAGAACAUGGAACAACCUUUGGAAGCGCAAUUUGUUCGCCGGAGCGACUUUGAAGAUCAUAAGACUCAAAUGAACAAUCUCUUCUAUGAUCUGGCCUCCAAGAUUGAUGUAACACCCCGAUUUCCAGGUGUCACUUUAGUAACCAAAAUAAUCUUUACGCGGAAAACAGGUAAUUUUUUUUUUUCGUUUUCUUUCCUUUAAAUCAAAACGAUAAGGAAGUAAAGACAAACCCCAACAACUAACUAACCGAUAUACAAAAUAUACAUCUGUACAGCCUCAGCUGCACUCCAUGUCACGCGAAGCCGCAGUGACUCCAAAGCAGUGUGCCCGUAGGCAAAUAUAUACAGACCCAGAAGUGUAAGUGAGAAAAUUAUAAUUACAAACCACUAGGAGAAAGUCGGCCUCAAUAUGGCCUAAGCAAAGACCCCUAUGGUCCAACUGACUCACUGUGAUCCCUCAGUAAGAGAACCACACGAAAAGUCAUGCGUCGGAAACCUACCCGAUCCCAAAAGCAAAACGAAUCAGAGCUCUACACAAAACAUGACGCCUGCCUAAACCUACCCUCCCUUCACUGCUCACAUAACCGAGUCCACCGCGAACUGAAGACGGCAAGUUGAAGCUCAGCUCCAUGCGUCGUAAAACUCCUUUCGUCAGACGUCCACGCUCGUCAGUACGGUCCUCCAACUCAAACCUGAUCCCCCCCGAGGGAGAGACCAUAGAAAACCAAACCACCGUCGACAUCUGGCAGCAGGCCGACCGCCCAAACACAAACAUGAAACCAAAGCCAAGGCGCUAGGGUCAACUCACAGAAAUACGUAGAUAUACACUCAACAUGUGAUAUGGGGUAUAGAUAAAUGUUGAUAUAUACAUAUAUAAACAAUCCUAGCAUGUUAUGGCUCUAACAUUGCUUCAAUAAACAAACAGCACACAGUCUCAGUCAGCAUGAAUGUAUGCGUGAAAUGCACAAUAUGAAUCCGGAUUUGUGACGCGUUCCCGUUCGCCACAAGUGAAGCAUUUUCACUAUGGAUGGACCAUUCCCGUUAUCCAUCCUGGAUGAAAUCCAUCCUGGAUGAACCAUUCCCGUUAUUCAUCCUUGGUGAACCAUUCCCGUUAUUCACCGAAUGAUGAACCAUUCCCGUUAUUCAUCAUUAAUGCAAGGUGAACCAUUCCCGUUAUUCACCAUGAUAUGCACAGGUGAACCAUUCCCGUUAUUCACCCGAUUGAAUGCAACGUGGUUAGCCAAACAACGAAUCGCCCUUACCAUGAAAGUUUUUAGCUCACAACCCAAUCUCAACAAACCCAUGAGUUAGUGUCGGUCAAUACAACACAACUCGGAGUAAGUGUCGGUCAAUACAACACAGCUCCACCAACAAGAAUACACAAGGGUCUAGUGUCGGUCAAUACAACACAGCCCAAACAACAAGAGCGCUAAGUGUCGGUCAAUACAACACCGCUCCAACAACAAGAGAACCCAAGGGAUUAAUGUCGGUCAAUACAACACAACCCCAUCAACAAGAGUACGUAAAGUACUCGGUGACUUUCAAUCAUCACCAUAGCUCACCUUAGUGGCUUUCCCCAAUUCCAAUAACUCACAACAAAGGUCGACUUUUCCCCGUCUUUCGUAAAUAUUUUCCCCUUCAGUUUUCCUAUACUUAAACGUUAAUAAAAAUGAUUUCAAUUCAGAUUAGUCAGGUUAUGAGUUUAUUUCUCAAAAUCUAGGUUUCCCAAGUCUUUAGUUUACAAAAUUCUAUUCAUUCUAGGUUUUCCGAAAACCAACCACCCAAAAGAAGUUUCCCGGGGAAAGUCUAUGUAAACCAACAAAUACCAACAGGCUAAGUCUCAAACCCCUCGUUUGAACUUGCCUAGGGUUGCUCAUCCAACCCAAAAUAUCAAAGAUCACCAGAUCAAUGAAUCUCCACUCCGAAGUUGCGUCAAAACGCUCCAUCCAACACAACAUCAACAUCAUAAGUUAUAAAAACAUUCAUAACAAUAAACCAUCAUCAUAAUCAAUAUCAUCGCAAAGCAUAAGUCGAAUUUAUCGACGCCUAUCAUGAAAUCAUAGCUAAUAUAUAUGUAAGUUGCCCUAACCUCGAGCUGUUCCAGCUUCGAAAUCAAGGUUGUCCUCAAACAGUUGCUCUGAAUAUUCCAAAGUUCCUUCAACUGAACCUCGGAGAAAAACAAAGCAGAAUUCAAACAAAAUCGAUUAGUUCGAUCGCAAAACAAUACAUAAACGAUAGACAAAGCAUCAAAGCUUCAGAAUACGACAAACGGGUACGAAAGGACAAGUUUUCGAAAACGAAAAACUCCCCCCCCUUAGGAAAAACCCACGGCCAUAAGGAGAAAAGGGCUUCGGCUCUUUUUCUUCGAUCAAAUCAGUUUACAAGGUAGUUUUAGGGUAAAACUAAGGCAAAGAAACUGUCAGAACAAUUUUCGGACAAUCGGGUCGAAUUACGACUACGCAGGGGCAUUUUGGUCCAAAAUAAAGGCUCAAAACUUCAAAGUUAUCAGUUCUGAAAACAGAUUUGACAGCAACGAUCCUCAUGACAUCCGUGACAACAAAUCCUAAAGGCACGAAGUCAGAUUAUAGCUUUACGACAAUAAAGUUUCGAAAUGUGAGACAAAAAGAGUUUUGAGUCAAUUUUUCAGAUCCUGGACAACUGAAUCGCAAUCAGAGUUUACUGACAGAGUUUUUAGACUCAGGGGAACAUAAGGAACAUAACCCAAGCGAGAAAUCAGAGAAAUCGGACAAUUUUAGAAAAAGCUCAAAACUUAGAGCACAGAAACGACUUCAGAAACGCAACAGAAACAACAAUCAGAGGUAGGAAUCGUGUUAGUUACCUUGAUACCUAGAAGUAGGGACGAACUGCACGAAGAUUGGUCAAGGUUUCGCGAAAAUCUCUCCUCUCCCUCUCUCUCUACAAUUCUCGGCCUUGAUGGGUGAAAAUGGCAAGAUUUUUGCUUUUUCGCGCUAUUUAUAGGCGGGCGAAAUCGCGGGAAAAUGAAAAUUUCGCGAUUCCGAUUUUUGCAGCACGAUCACCGUGGAAUUCUAAGAGAGAUUCUAGCGUCGGAAUUCCAGAACUCAAAACGAAUAUCUAGGAUUUGGGAAAAACGAUAUCGAAAAACUCAAAAGCGGUGUCGGUUAAUCUGCCCCGAAAAACUACUUUUUGCUGUGAUGCUCAGACGACAAAACUCCCUACUGAAGAAAGAUUGGAAAUGUCGAAACAAGUCUGGCAGCGUGGACGGAAUCUUCGUUAGAAGUCCCGAAUAGAAAAAGUCUUCAUCCAUUGCUCGAAAAUAGGGUUUCGAAGCAAAGAAAUUAGCGUCGGCGGACAUCCGAAAAGUGAAACCUAUCGUGCGUACAGUCCAGAGUUCCGAAAUGAAACGCUGGUCGAUGGAAAAAUAAAGAGAAUCUUUAAAUUUUCCGAGAGUUCGAAAUCUCACUCAAAACGUUGCUUUAAGAGCGAAAUAGCCUAUUCUGGACACGCUCGCCAUAAGGCAGGUGUGCAGACGACUCGCACUAGCUCCGAAAGAAACAACGCCACAUUCCUCGAGCAAUUCCUGAACUUUCUUCUUCAUUAAUCUUUCUCAAAUAUCAAACUCCUGUCACGCUUACACUGAUUCCAAGCGUGAGUCGGAAAUUAACUUGUUCCGAAAAUCCGGGUCUUACAAUUGAUCUGCUCCUGCAUCGUUUUGGCUAAUGGCCACUCUCUACCCUUUUAGUUCUAUAUUAUUUAAAUUCCUGACAAUUUGCACUUUAAAUUUCUGAACCUUGUUAUCUUCGUACUUCAGUUAUCCUUAUCGUUCUUAGGAUAUCCUAUAUGCAUGUCGGGUUUCUAUUUGCAUGUCUCUUUUUAAUAAUGCCAAAUGGGGAGAAGAGAGAAAGAGAUAGGAUGAUGGAGGAUAUUGUAGGAUAUUGUGCUUAAUAACAUAAUAACGAGAGAAAGAGAUAAGAUGAUAGAGGAUAUUGUAGGAUAUUGUGCUUAAUAACUUAAUAACUUGUUUUUUAAAAACAUAGCCUACUAAAGUCAGGGGGAGUAACGUAAAAGAAUUUUUUUUGUCACACCCUGUCAAGCUCAAAUUAUUUUGAAACUUUACUAAACUCAGGGGGAGUUUAUUAUUUUAAUUACCUCUUUCUAUAAAAAUUGUCAUUAUCAAAAAGGGGGAGAUUGUUAAGUUCAAACGCAUCAUAACGUUUUUAAAAUCUUAUUUUGAUCAUAACAAUUUUAUAGUAGAAGUUUCAUUGAAAAUUUAUCUACUGAUAACGUUCUCAAUUUCAGGAGAAACUUGGCUAUAUGUCACACGCUUCAACGCUCUAUCAAUUAUUAAAAGGAUAUUUUCCUCAGAAAAUAGAAGUAACUCGGCCUCUUCUGUACCCAAGUGAAGACUCUGACCGUUCAAUGCCAAGUCAUCAGUCAGAUAUAUCAAGAAGUAUUUUGAGCGCCAAAGUCAUAGUUUGAUUACAACCGGUUGUCCCACAUUCAAAUCCAAUGACAACUAUUUGAAUCUCAUUCAAACUAAAACACAUGAAGACAAAUUUACUUCAGCAAAAGGCACGCUGACCAACAAGGGAAAGUACUAGCCGUCAACAUCAAAUUGUCAAAUUGUCUCAUGUCUGAAAAGUAGCCCAAAGUCUAUCACCACCUACUAGCUGACAAACAUCACCUUUUGAGCUAAAGGAUAGACUUGCUUCAGAAGUAACAUUUAAUGAAACUACCAACCAAGCCUUUUGAAUCAACGGUCUGAUAUCACCUUUAACGACUGUCUCAACGGUUGGAUUUUAUCUCACAACGGCUACAACACUAGCAAGCAAGUAUUUAAGACACUCUUGAAGAUCUGAAGAAGAAGAAUCAACUCUGAGAAUUCAAGCAUUUAUUUUCAAACUUCUCAACAACAUUCAAAGCUCAAGAAGAUAUUCCUAAGCGUCAAACACAAGCCAUAAAUUCUGCCAAGUGAAAGAGAAAACCUCGUACCUUAAAAGAGUCAUAUCUUUUUAUUCUCCUGACACCUUUGUAGUAACUCUCAAGUGAUCCAAUAGUCAGAUCUGAACCUAAACACUUAGAGUUUCAGUGCUUUAAAGUCUCUACCUUUACUCUUGAAAAAUGAGAAUCUCCGUAGAGUGAUAUAAAUCUUUGUAAGAUUUUGGAGAAGUCCUGUACAAUACUUAUAGGAGGAGUCCUGCAUAAUACUUGGAGAAGUCCGUGAUAAUACUUGGAGAAGUCUGUGAUAAUACUUGGAGAAGUCAUGUCUAAUACUUGUAUUGGAGAAGUCCUUGAUACUUGCUAGUGAAAAUCUUGGUGGUGGCCAAGUACUGGACGUAGCCCAAUCGUUUAGGGUGAACCAGUAUAACAUUUGAGAAAGAACAUAUAUAAAUGCUUCAAAAUGUAUGCCAAUAGAGAAAUAUAGAUCUAUGGCACAAAUAAUCAUUCACAAGAAGAGUUGUAAUGAAAAUAAAAUUUUUGACUACCCAUUAGAUCUGUUGCAUGUAGUAUUUAAAAACUUUUGAUAUGUAUUUAUAUAUCCACGUGUAUAUCAACUGAUGAAGUAAAUAUAUAUUCACACUAAUUAUCCACACGAGUCAAACGAUUAAAAGUAAAAAUAUUCAGUGAAGUAGGAAAGAUUGAGAAACAAUGCUUACAAUUGUGGGAAUUGAGAGAAAUUGAGAGUGAAAAAAUGUAUGUAAUUGAGAAAUUAAAAAUCUCGAAUCUUUUUCGAUAGAAGAAAGACUGUAGAAACACGAGAACAAGAGAUCGAAGGCAGAGGAAGAAGAAGAAAGUGGAGGAUAAGGAGGAGGAGGAGGAGGAGGAGGGGGAGGAGGAUGAGGAUGAGGAUGAGGAUGCGGAAGAGGAGGAGAAGGAAAAAUAACAAGAAGACAAUCUAUGUGUUUAUUAUACUCCGCCGGUUUCUAUCAAAUGGUUAGAAAGAAAGAACAACACAUUUAUCAAGAAAUCCAACUAAUGUUUUUAUCUUUCAUAGGUUUCAAUCCAAGAGUGAAAAAGAACGCAAAUAUAAAUUUAUCAAGUAAUACAAUUAAAAUAAAUUAUUAGUUACUUUCGUACUUUUUCUUUUGAAGUAUAUACGUAUUUCUCAUUAUUUAUUAUAAUCAUAAUUAAGGGCAUAAGUGGAAAAUGAUUUAAUGCACUCUUAAAAUUUUAGAUGAAUAUAUAUAUAGUUUUCUAUCAUAGUGAAUUUUUUUAAAAGAAAUAAAUGGAUUGAAUUAUUAAAAACAUGGAUGGCCAUAUGGUAUGAUUUAGCUGGGGUGGAUUGUUGCAGGUGAUUGCUCACACUACAAUUGCAAGGAUCAACCAUAAUGUGCUACGACUCUACAAAUACAUCUCGUUGAUACCAUAAAUGGAUGCUUAAACACGAGAUCUCUUAGAUUAUCAAGGAAAAAUUACGAGCCUAAUUGAGAAAGAACAGGUAUAUAAGUUCUUUAGAAUGCAAGCCAAUAGAGCAACAAAGAUUUAUGGGAAAAAUAAAUAAAUAAUCAUUCACAACAUGAUUAAGAAAAAAAGAGUUGUAGUGAAAAGAAAACUUGGACUACCCAUUAGGUCUUUUGCAUGUUUUAUUUAAUUUUAUAUAUAUAUAUAUAUCUAUAUAUACAUGUAUAUCAAUCGAUCCAUCAAUUAUAUAUUCACACCAAUUAUCCUCACGGAUCAAAAAAUAAAAAAUAAAAAAUUUCAAUGAACUAGCAAAUGUUGGGAAAAAAUGCUUACAAUUGUGGUAUUUGGGAGAGUGAAUUUGCUUCGAUAGAAGAAAGGUAGAAGAAACACCAGAAAAAGAAAUAAAAAAAACAGAGUAUGAAUAAUGAGGAGGGUGCGGAGGAGGAGGAGGAUGAGGAUGAGAAGGAAAAAUAACAAGAAGACAAUAGUUGCGUUGAUUAUUCUCAUUCUUCCCCGGUUUCUAUCCAAUGGUCAUAAAGAAAGAGAAACACACUUAUCAAAAAACACACUUAUCCAAUAAUGGUCAUUAAUAUUUUAAAUAUCAAGAAAAACACACUUUGAUGAACAACCCCUGUUCAUGGCCCCUCUGCUGUGUUUUCUUUUAACAAUUCUGGGUGGAUGGGAAGUGAGUAUACAGAGGCCAAAGCACUGUGGGGUUUGGGGAAGGAGAUUGGAGUAGCAUGUGAAGGGAAUGAAGAAGAAAUUGUCAAGAGAUUGCAAGCUAUGGAGGAGAGGGGCGCUGCUGUGGUGAGUGCGCAACAAAGCCAUGUCCAUGGAGCCGGGUACAAUAGUUUUUAAUGUUAUUAUUAUCCUUAAAUGUGAGGGGGCUCGGGAACCCAGGUAAGAGAAGGGUAAUUAGAGAAAUGGUUUGUCAAAAUCAUGUUGAGAUGUUGUGCCUACAAGAGACAAAGUUGGAAGACAUUGAUAGGAGAAGCUGUUGUCAGGUGUGGGGGGAUUCUGAAUUUGACUGGAUCAGUGUUCCUGCUGUAAAUAGAGGGGGGGGGGGGUUUGUUGUGUGUGUGGAAGUGGAAUCUGUUUGUGAUGGAGGAAAGUGUGGUGGGUUAUGGUUAUCUUGGCCUUGUUGGGCAUUGGGGGGAACCCAAUAGAAGUUGUGUCAUUGUUAAUAUUUAUGCUGCAUGUAAUAUUGCUGAUAAGAGAGCUUUGUGGGAGGCUCUUGUAACAUGGCGUCAAAGUUGUUCUAUUGAUAUUUGGUGCCUAGCAGGGGAUUUCAAUGCGGUGAGGACUGUGGAAGAAAGAAGGGGUGGAUCAGGGGUUCAGAACUCACAGAGGAGAGAGAUGUUUGAGUUCAACGAAUUUAUUGCUGCCAUGGGUCUCUUAGAUAUCCCGCUAGCUGGUAGAAAGUAUACAUGGCGAAAGCCAAAUGGGCAUGCUCAAUGCAGGCUUGACAGGCUCUUGAUCACACCGGGGUGGAAUCUGGCUUGGCCAAAUUGUUCUCAACUGGUGCUGAAUAGGGACAUCUCUGAUCACAGUCCCCUUCUCUUGCGUCAGACGUUUCAAGAUUAGGGCCCGAAACCGUUUAGAGUUGUUAAUUGUUGGCUACAUGACCCGAGGAUCAGUUCUGUUGUGGAAAAAGCUUGGAGUGAGGCUACUGUGGGAGGUUGGGGGAUGUUUGUUCUUAAAGAAAAACUAAAAACGACUAAGUGCAGUUUAAAGCAAUGGAACAAAGAUGUUUUUGGGAAUCUGAAAUUUAAGAGGGAGGAAGUAGUCCUGAAAAUAAAUGAGCUGGAUGCAAAAGAAGAAGAUGAGGGUUUAUCUCAAGAGGAGGUGGGCUCUCGGAAAGACUUACUUAAUGAAUUUUGGAGAAUUCUUAAAUUUCAAGAGUCGUUAUUGUGUCAGAAAGCUAGAACAAAGUGGAUAGCGGAAGGGGACCAAAACACAGGUUUCUUUCAUGCAACAAUUAGCUGGAAGAGGCGUGCAAAUUCUCUUGUCGGCAUAUUAAUUGAUGGUUCUUGGGAGGAGAAUCCAGCUAGCAUAAAACAAGAGGUUCAGACUUUCUCUGAGAAUAAGUUCAAGUCUGAUCAGUGGUGUAGGCCAAAUCUGGAAGGGGUUCAGUUUAAGUCUAUAUCUGAGGCAGAUAAGUCAGAUCUGAUUGCUCCAUUUACUGAGGUUGAAGUCAAAGAAGCAGUGUGGGCUUGUGGGGGAGACAAAAGUCCGGGACCAGAUGGGUUUAACUUCAUAUUUAUCCAGCGGUUUUGGGAAAUUAUGAAGAAUGAUUUUUUCAGAACAGUAAAAGAAUUAUGGCCAAGGGGUGUGUGGCCAAGAGGAAGCAACGCUUCGUUCAUUGUUCUUAUCCCUAAGGUAAAUUCCCCUCAAGGUCUCAAUGAGUUCAGACCAAUUUCUUUGAUUGGGUGCAUCUACAAAGUGAUUUCCAAAUUGUUGGCUGGUCGGUUAAAAAGUGUACUUGGCAAGGUGAUAGUUGUUCAUCAGUUUGCUUUUCUUGGAGGCCGAAAUAUGUUGGGCAGCGUAGUGGUGGUUAAUGAAAUAGUAACUACAACAUUUUGGACUUUAGGCAACAUAUGCCUCAGCAACUAAUGAAAAAAUGUUCUUGAAAAGUUGAUCCGACAACGGUUUUUUAAUUGUAGAUAUUUUUCAUACCUACAGUUUCAUAAUUGUUCUUGUAUUAUAGAUGAGGCAACGAUUUAACGUAGUGUAGCCAUUUGACUUGUCAACAAUUGCUUAAAUGUUCUUAGAACAUAAAACGAGUACGGUUUUAUAAAAGUUGAUAUUUUUUUAAAAACAAUUUGGUAACUGUUUCUACAAGCAAUUUUAGGCAACGGUGUUCUAGGUCAAAAGGCUACAAUUGUAAUCUUGUCCUUAAAACUGGACAAGUGCUACACUUGUAAAGUGUAGCCUAAUUAAUAUUCAACGACAAUUGAUGAAACGUUCCCAUAGUUAAAAUUAGGCAACAUUUAUUAAUUUUAAGAAGUAAAUUAAAUCUGGUUUAAGAGAGAAAAAAAACCGCUAAUCUUUCCCGGUUCUUUUUUCUAUUUUUUUUUUCUAAAACGCUAAUUCUUCCCUCCCACGGUUGCCACUCUCUCAAAACCCCAAACCCUAGCCUCUUCUCUCCAAGGUACGACACAUCCUUUCUCUCCAUGGCAUGGCACGCCGUUCAUCUUCCUCUCUAGGGAUUCAAUCAGCGCUCUUCUCUUCACGUCCACCAUUAGGUACCUCUCUUCACGCUGUCACAUUUUCAGGUCUUCAUGUUUUUUUACAUCUUCACCUUUUCUCUUCCCGUAUUGUCCACCAGUUAUCGCCCUCUCUUCACGCCUUCUGAUCACAACAAGCAACUCGUAAUUCACACGACGCUCUCCUCCACAGGUGAUUUUUUCAUUCUCACUUCUCAUGUGAUUCUGAUUUCCGCCUCUUUUCGUUCUGAUUCCGAUUUCCAUCUCUUUUCAUUUAUUUGCAGUUCACCUCUUUGGUUUAAGAGAACGUCACCCAGUUAACUCAAGCUCUUCUCAAUAUGUUAGAUAUCUAAACCCCUUUUAGUUGUAUUCUCUUUUCUCUUCAUUGAAUUUUUAAUUGACUAUUGUAUUUGUAAUUGCUUGUCUGCAAUUCAUGCUUGAAGUUCAUUAUUCAUGUGAAUUUAUCGAUUUAGCAGAAAUCCAAUUUUAUUGUGUUACUAAUUUAAUCUGAUUAUGAUAUUUUGUAACUGGGAACCCAUAUUUUGGCAAAUUGUAUAACACUACCUGUGGAUGUUUAUUGCUUGUGUCAAUUCUUGAAUGCUUAUUGUAUUUAUGUAGAUGUAGAUGAACCGUGUGUUGUUUUUUAUUAUUACCAUGAAGGUUUGAUUUCAACCAUUGUUUCUGGACCUGCGUGAAUUCAAUUGGAAUGGUGGGGCUAUUCUGCUUAGUAUUUUUGAAGGUGGUGGGGUAAAGUUUAGACUUGUUAUGGGGUCCCUGUACAUGUGUUGGUUUUGGUGGGGUGUGCUUAUAUACUAGUUUAUAUUGGUACUUUGUAUCGUCUUUUUCUCCUUUUUACUUUUUUCUUGCUGAAUUUUGAUCAUUGUUUUUGGGUUUGGAGUACUCCUUGUACUCUUUUUAAUAAAUUCUUUCCCUAUAAAAAAAUUGUAGUGAACUUUUUAUUUUUUUAGGAUUCAAGUUCUCAUUUAUCAACACUGGCUCAAAGAAUUGUUCCACUAUCAAAUAAGAGUUGUCUAAUAAGAGGAUAUACUGAUAUACCACCAGACACAGCGCAUGAUACAAUUUUAUAACUUUUGGACUUUGUAUGCACUGGAUUUGAAUGGCACAGAGGGUUUAAUUCAGUCUUACUUAUUCUUCUUGCCACCAAACAAAAUGCGCUGGAUUUGAAGCCCUCGGCUGAAUACUUGGUUGAAUAGCAGCCUAGUUUGGAAUUCUGAAUUAAAUGGGAACCAUGCCAAUAUGGCCACUGGUGUAAAAAUAACCACUCCCAUGAGGUAUUCUGAAAUAUGCUUGAGCUAUCUGAAUAAGUGCACUUUUAUAAUCACUUGUUUGUAGACAAUAGAUAGCAUGUGGCAAAGCUUGACAACUUGCAACUUAAGAAACUAACUCUAACUAACUACUUUCCAAUUAAGUCUAGCCCGUAAUUAACUACGGUCAUGCUAAACUACAAUUAACCCAAUAAUGGCAGUGUUUAAGGUUAGAACUCCCCCUACCACUGUAUCCCAUUCAGCUAAAUUUAGAAGCACCCUCAAAUCAGUGAAUUACAUAAACUAGCUAGGUAGAUUCUUUAGUGAUUCUUCAUGGUAACUGAUCCAUAUUGCUAUAGUCUACUGAUAUCAUAAGUGACACUAGAGUUCGCUGGAAAAACUUUUCAAUCACUCUUUGGUGAAGAAAAAACAGGUAGAGUUCGCUGCUUAGGAAGAACGGUCACACCAACUAUGUUAAAGAGAAAUGAAGAAAUCGCUGCUAUAAAUAAACAACAUUCUCAUGAGAUGAACCAAGUGACUGAGAAGAUGCAAGGGCUUGAAGGGCUUGUAAGAGGCUUGAUGAAGCAAGUCAAUCCAAAUUUGGAUGAUGAAGCUUUGAAUAAUAUAAUGGAAAAUGCUUUACGCAAUGAAAGUAGUGCAGCACCUCGUUCAUCUACAUCAACCCAUAAUCCUAAUUACGAAAAUGUAUAAUUCCUAAUGUCAAUCUGCCUUUUAGUUUGUCUUUGAUUUUCUGAUGUCUUGAAUAUUGAUUUAAUUCUUUCAUUUUGAAAUUAAGUGUUUUCAUUAUGAAAUUAGAUUGGUCUUAAUGUUUGUUUAACAUCCUAUGAAAUCACCAAGCUGCAAAACUUGGUUUAUCUGCAUUAUGUGGAGAGUUUAAAGUGCUGAUUAGUUGAAUGUGGAUUUAGAUAUGGAUUGGUGUGGUAACUAACAGGAUUUUGUGAAUAUGUUUACUCUAUGAAUGGUUUUGCAUAUGUUGAAAAUGAUAUGUUCUUAUAUUAUUGGAGGGUAGGGAUAUUGUUGUGGUUUAUCGACUACAAGUUAGGAAAUUAACUUGUUAUUGUAUGUUGGCGACUUGUUAUUGAUGCGCUACCUUGUGAUAGUGUAUUCAUAGGUGCCUAGUUUUUUUGUUAGUUGCUGGCUUGUAGAGAGAUAAUUGCCCCUGCUAUUUGUGUUUGUGUCCAGGGUGCUUGAGACCCUUGUUGUUGGGCUCUGUUUUCUGGCUUCUUGUUAGAGAGUUAAUUGCCCCUGCUAUUCUAAUACACAUUUUUCAUGUGUGCAGCAAAAUUUGGUUGAUGAAGAAGAUGAACCGCAAGAUAUUGGAGAAGAAUGAUGUUAUUUACGCGCACGUGGAUGCAUUAUUUUGAAAUAGCAUAUGCAAACUUUUGUAAUUUUUUAUUUAGGGAUUAAUAUGGUGUUGGUACUGUUUUUUAAUUGACAUACUUUGAACAAAUUAAUGCAAUUUUAUGUUACUGGUUGAGACUUUUAUCAUACAAUUGUUUAAUUUUUAUGGUAUAAUGAUUACAAAUAAGUUUAUCUUAUUAAUAGAAAUAUUUAUAUAAUCAUCAUAUAUCAUUAUGUCUAAAUAAUUUAUUGUUUUCUACAAUAACAUAGUAGAUGUGCAUGACCUGAAUGGUUUAAAAAAUAUUGGUAAUGUAUAACAUCAAUUCUGCCUUAUCAACCAGUUGCAAAAAUCUUUUCAAAACAAAAAACCAGUUGCAAAAAUAAAUACCAGCCUUUAGAAAAUGUCCCCUAUAACUACAAAACCGUUGCCAAAACUGAAAACUUUGAGUUGUUUGAAUUUGAAACCGUUGCCUAAUAUAUAUAGACUACAUGUUUAAUGCGUAGCUAAAAGAGGAAUUCGUUGCUGUAAUGGAGCACAAGAAGCGUUGCCUAAUAUAUAGACAACAUGUUUAAUGCGUAGCUGCAAGUAAAAACCGUUGCUGUUAAGGAGAAGCAAAACCGUUGUUGGAGUCUGUACCAAAGGCUACAGUUUAGGUGGACUAUUGCCGUAAGAUGCAAAACCGUUGCUGAAAGGUAUCGGCAACGACUUUUUAUGCGACAUACGGAAAACCGUUCUUAGAACCUUCAGCAACGGUUUUUUUGGUUUAGACUACACUUUUCGGACGUUGAUGUAUCUGAAAAAUGUUGUAGUGAGUACAUGAGGAAAAUGUGACGAAGAAGCCAACUCUCUUGUUUAAAGUGGACUAUGAGAAAGCAUAUGCUUCCGUUCUGUGGGAGUUUCUAAUUUAUAUGAUGAGGAGGAUGAAUUUUGGGGAGAGGUGGAUUGGGUGGAUUAAGGGAUGCCUUGAAUCAGCAACAGUUUCAGUCCUAGUCAAUGGAAGCCCUUGUAAUGAAUUCCGAAUGGAGAAGGGGUUGCGGCAAGGCGAUCGCUUGCUCCUUUUCUUUUUCUUAUUGUAGCUGAAGGUCUUUCUGGGUUAUUCAUGAAUACGGUGAAGUUGAACAAGUUUGGUGGCUUUAAGGUUGGAGGGGACAACUCACUGGAUAUUUCUCUCCUCCAAUUUGCAGAUGAUACCAUUUUCUUGGGAGAGGCAAACAUGCAGAAUGGGGUAACAAUCAAAUGUGUGCUCCGAUGUUUUGAGCUAAUAUCCGGGCUGAAAGUUAACUUCCACAAAAGUAAGUUGGCAACAAUUGCAACAGGUGAGAUGGAUUCUCAAAGUUUUGCUUCAUUGUUACAUUGCAAGAGGAUGAGUAUUCCAUUUAUUUAUUUGGGGCUCCCGGUUGGGGGAAGGCCAGAUUUGCAGAAAACUUGGGAGCCGGUUAUCCAGAAGUUCAAGUCUAAGCUAUCUUCUUGGAAACUGAAAUCGAUUUCCUUUGGGGGUCGUAUUUGCCUUAUCCAAAGUGUGUUAUCGGCACUGGCUUUGUUUUACCUUUCUUUUUUCAUAUUACUGAGUAGUGUGGAGAACAUUUGCAAUAGCAUCAUGAGAGAUUUCUUAUGGGGUGGAGGUCGAGAAACUAGAAAGAUCGCUUGGGUGAGCUGGAAAUCAGUUUGCAAGCCUAAGGAGGUUGGUGGUCUUGGCAUUAAAGAUUUGUCAUUAUUUAAUAAAUCGUUGCUCGGAAAGUGGAGGUGGCGGUUUCUUUCUGAACCAAAUAAUUUAUGGUGUCGGAUCAUUAAGGCUAAAUACAUGGGUAGUUCUUCCAUGAAGGCAUCGUCGUGGUGGAGGGAUAUCCAAAUGUCUUGCAAUGAUGAGGAUGGGGACUGGUUUGAGCUCGGCAUUCAAAAAUGCAUGCGGGAAGGUAAUGAAACAAGGUUCUGGCAUGAUGAUUGGGUUGGUACGGGUAAUUUGUGUAAUAAGUAUUAUAGACUAUACAAUUUGUCAAGAAUGAAGUAUGCAUAUGUGAAGGACUGCUGUGAAUGGGGCCAAGGAGUGUGGCAUUGGAAUUUGGAGUGGCGAAGGCCUCUUGUUGGUAGGGAACAGACGUGGUUCAGUUCCAUGAUGGAGGAGGUUAGCAGAAUCCAGCUAGUAGAAGGAGUGCCAGAUAAAUGGAGCUUGUUACACAGUCCGGACGGUGUUUUUUCAGUUAACUCUUUUUACUCGUUUUUGCAGGUUCCUCAAUUGGUAAAUCCGGAUACUGUUUUUAAUUGGAUUUGGUGCUCUGCUGCCCCUUCAAAUGUCAAGGCGUUUGCUUGGAAGCUUGUUUUGGACAGAAUACCAAGCAAGGAAAAUCUCUGGAAGCGCAAGGUGUUACAAUCUCAGGAAGAGCGAAUUUGUCAAUUGUGUUCUGUGCAGAUUGAAACUAGUGCACACCUUAUUUUUUCCUGUCAGUUUUCGAUGGGGGUGUGGCUCGCUUGCUAUAAGUGGAUGGGUGUUCAAACGGUUUUGCCAAUGGGUACCCGUGAGCACUUAUUGCAGUUUAACUUGGGCUGGAAUAAAAAUCAGCAGCAAGGAGCCUUUUCAAUCUGGCUUGCGGCAAUUUGGACCAUUUGGUUGAUUCGAAAUUCUGUCUUAUUCCGUAAUGGUGAAGCUGAUUGUCUUUUGGGUUGGAAUUAAUUCAAUGGCGAUCAUGGCAGUGGCUUAAAGCUAAGAUGCGAGGGUUCAGUAAUUCGUUAUUUGAAUGGAGCUCCCAACCUCUGAUGUGUUUGCAAGGCAUGUGAACACUUGCUGGCUCAAGUUUUGCUGGGGUUUGAGAUCAUUUUUUGCUGGUUUGUUCCUUGUUUUUUGCGUUCGUGUGUCUUGGUGAGUGGAGCUCACAUUCUGCUGGGAGUUUUCUCUAGUUUGCUAGGAGUAUUGUCAUGAGAUGUUUGGGGUUGGUUUAAUCAGAGAAAGAUUGGCUGUUUUUGGCUUUUGUAGGGUAGUUCUAUUAGUUCUUUUCUUAACUGUCUUGUUUUUAUUUUGCUUUAGUGGCUUCUUUUUGUUUUGGUUUUUUCUUGUGUAUUGAGGGUUGGAGUACCCCUUGUACUCCCUUUUAAUGUAAUAUUUGACUUAUAAAAAAAAAACCUAUUCCUACCGGUGGUUGAUUACUUAGUCAUCCCCCUUAGUAUAAGAGCACCUCUCACUUUCUCUAACAAUCACUGCCCCAGUGAUUGAUCCCUUACGAUAAGAGCAAAGACAGAUCUCAAGAUCAAAGGGUUCACAACAAAAACCAUGCCUUGUCUUCGAUGAGCUUUAACGAACAAAGGGUCCACAACAAAAAUUAGGAAGUCAACCUUUUAAAUCUACAACAAAUCUUAUCACAUAAGAUUUGAACAAAAGAUAGAAACUUUCAAAAAAUUAUCUUCAAAUCAAAUUUGCUGAAAACCGAUUUGAUCACACUUGAUAUAUUCUCUGAACGACGCACAUAAGCUCCUUCAACAAUCCUAGCUUGUUGACCACGUAAACAAUCCGAAACUUUUAGAAUAAAUCACUUACACAAACAGCAGGCCCACAAAAAUAAAUGUUGCAUCAAAGAUGCUAAAACAUCGUGUCUCAUAUCUUGCCACACAAAACACACUUAGCUAAAUAUAGACAAUCAUGAACAAAUAAACAACAACCAUAUGCAAUUUGGUUAAAAAAACAUCAAUCUAAAAAAACCUAUGUUUACAUUGGUGAGAAUAUAGUCACUGAAUUCCAGACAAAAUUACAAGUGAUGAUAUGAUAGACUAUUAAAGAAGUGGGAAAAUAUAAAAAAAAAAAAGUGGUUUCCUUGGAGCGCGUGAUGUGCACGCACCAAUUAACAACAAACGUAAUAGAUGUCGCUUGAAGUGUGUUGGUCUUAACUCUGCACACAUUGAUUGUAUGGUCUGAAAGAAACCAAUGGCUACUGCGAAGAUAGGACUCGGAGUCCCGACUCACCGAGUCACCUCCGCGGCAGCUCUUUCCUCCGCUGCGUUUACUCCGCCACCGCCCAAUCAGCACCGCCUCAUCUUCAUCAACGCCCGCCGCACUCUCCGUACUCGCACUUCCUCGCUCACACUCCGAGCCUCCGCUUCCCCCUCCUCCUCCUCCGUGGCCUCACAAGGUUACUCGCACCAUCCACUCUUUCUCUGCAAUUGCAAAUGAAUGUCACUCUAGUUCGAGAGAAGUGAGGGCGGUGAAUUCAAUGCUUGCAUGCUAAUUUUAUAUUUUUGGGAAUUAGUUUUCUCACCACCCAUUUAGAUAUUCUUACCCUUUCGCACUUUCAAUUUGCGGAAUGUGUAAUUUGUGUUCCGCACUUAUAAGUGUGGUGUGUAGUAAAUUUGGGUGGCGAGAAAAUGAAAAAGGUUGGCAUUUAAACUAAUUCCCUGUAUUUUUAUGGUUGUAAAUUUGUGAAGUUUUGGAGAGAAAUGAGGUUGCUACACAUUUUGUUGGUCUGUUCUCGGCCUUAAAAUUGCAAUUUGUAUAUGGAGUAUUCUUGUUGGGGCUAAAACCCAAGAUGUUACUGUUAAUUGAUAUGCUGUGUUGGAUUUGUGGCUUAACCAGCAACUUUUUGAUGUAGAAUUGAAGUGAUAGUAGAAAUUGGGCAAUAGGAAUUCGCAAUGGUGGGUAGUAGUUGAAGGAUUUAAGGGAUAUGGCUUGGUAGAAUGUAGUGGAGAUUGAUAAGUUGCACUUAAUUUUUCAUUUGAAGGUAUCUAACACUUAGAGUUGGGAAGAUGAUUAUGCAUUUUCAUGUUAGACAUUUAGGCCAGUUAACAAGGGCAACUGUGUAUCAUCAUAUGGUGAAUACUGUUUUGCUUUGAUCAAACUAGAGCUUAGCUUCUUCGCAAUGUUAAUUUAACAACAUUAUAUAAAGAUUUUAUGUUAACUCCUAUCAUAAUACUGAUGGCUUCGAAGUCGGAUAUGACACAGGAUGAGGGGUUGAAGAUCUGGUGUACUCCCCCCACCCUAUAUUGAAACUAAGUUGUUGAAGGUCUCUUUAGAUCCUCCUAGCUACGAGUUUUAGGAUUCCUUUACUCGUUAUGAGUUCAUUCUACACAGAGAACAAAACUAUUGACUUUUCAGUUCAGAGUCUGACUUCUUACUGUAUGUGAUGUAAUUCUUAAUUUCUUAUUGGUUUUACUUUUAUUUUACCAAGAUAAGCAAAGUUGACAAUUACAUCUUUUUCCUUCUCACAGCAAAAGGAGUUGAGAAUGUGGUAAUUAUAGGAUCAGGCCCUGCAGGAUACACAGCAGCAAUAUAUGCAGCCCGUGCCAAUUUGAAACCUGUAGUAUUUGAGGGGUACCAAGUGGGUGGUGUUCCCGGGGGACAGUUGAUGACUACAACUGAAGUGGAGAACUUUCCAGGAUUUCCUGAUGGGAUAAGCGGGCCUGAUUUGAUGGACAGGUAUUAAAAACAGAAGUAAAAACUUGUUAUAGCUCAUGUUACCUUGUAAUUUAUUGUACUUGUAUGGACCCUGAAGUUAACACAUAAUCUAAUUAUCUAGGAUGCGACGGCAAGCUGAACGUUGGGGAGCAGAAUUGUAUCAAGAAGAUGUUGAAGCUAUUGAUGUGAAAAAUAGCCCUUUUACUGUCCAAAGUAGUGAACGUAAGGUGAUAUGUUCAUUAACAGCAAGCUGAUUUACGAUUGCAUAGAUAUUAAUAUACCUGAACAUUAAGGCUUGUGUCUUUUCAACUUAAUUGGUUCUUUGAGUCCACUGUGAUGUGCUUCUUUUAUGGAAUUAAAUUAUUGCAAAUUAUUGUAUAUAUUUGGUAGCAGCUUUUAUUUGAAAACAAUUUGUUGAGUAUUUCACUCUUAAUGUGAGUCCUGAAAGUCCUAUAAAUUACAGACUAUCUACUGAAUUAUUACCAUUACUUUUGAUAUUGAUUUACAUGCAUUCUGAGUUCUGUCAUCAGUUUGUUGUCUAAUUGUAAUACCUUUCUAGUCAUGUUUCUUUGGAGGAAAAGUUUUUGUUAGUUACAUAAGGUUUUCUUGAUCACAUUAUAAUUCAGGUUAAGUGCCAUGCUGUCAUCUAUGCUACUGGGGCCACUGCAAAACGACUUAGGCUACCCCGAGAAGAUGAAUUUUGGAGCCGAGGAAUUAGUGCUUGUGCAAUUUGUGAUGGUGCAUCACCUCUCUUUAAGGGUCAAGUUCUUGGUGUCGUAGGUGGGGGGGAUACAGCUACGGAGGAAGCAUUAUACUUGACAAAAUAUGCUCGUCAUGUUCACCUACUUGUACGGCGAGACCAGCUAAGGGCUUCCAGAGCCAUGCAAGACAGGUGUGUCUAAUUAAUACUUCCCAGAGGCAUGCCUGUUAGUUGUUAAGGAACAGCUAACUCUGCAGUGUAUGUUAAAGUUUACAGUAAUUACCUCCUCCUAUACACUUCAUAAUGUAUUCCUUUUAGUUUCUCAACUCUCUCUCUCUCUCUCUCUCUCUCUCUCUCUCACACACACACACACACACACACACACAUGCACACAUAAUUCCGGUGGAAAGAUGGAAUUUAAACAAACUGUGUUAGAUUAGUCUUCUAAAUAUUUCGUUGAUGGCAAGGUUCUCUAUAGAUGAAGCUUUAUUUAACAUUAGGCAUAAUGUCUAUUACUUUCCAUCUUACGUUGAUUGAGGUCAUGCAUAUUGUAAAUUAUUGUAUUUUUUUCUAUUUGUAUUGGCUUCUUUGUUUAAUAAUGAAUUUUGUGUCUUCCUUUUUUUCUUUUUAUAUGCAUAGUUGAGUUGAUGGGUAAUCAGUCCUUUCUUGCUAUUUAGUGAUCUGUUAAGAAUUCUGCCUGUGCCAAUAAUUUGUGUUGGGUGUAACAAUAGUUUGUAGGCUUUUUGUUACCAAUCUGAAGUUUCUUUUGGCUGUAAUUCACUUGGAAAAUAUUUGGUAUUUUAAGGUGUCUUGUGCUUUGGAUUAUAGUAGUGAAAACUAUAUUUAUCCUAUGGACAUAACAUGUUUGAUCUUCUCGCUUAUGGGGAAGCCAUGCUCACUCUCUUUUUGCACAUGGAUUCAAAAUACUGUUUUGCAUACAAGUGUAGUAUUCUUAUGUUUGUCAUUAUGUCUGUAUUUCAUAUAGACUUCGAAAAAGCAAUUAUAUCAUGUUGUAGUACCAUUUUAGUGCAGGCAAAUGGAAGCAAAUUAUUCGGAAUGUGAAAUUUUACAUUAAUGGCCAAAUACUAGAAGCGUAUUUUAUUUGAGGUCUAAAUUAUCAUUCCAAUGUGGGCCAUGAGCUCAUGCUAUGAGCUUCUGUAUCUGGAUUCUGAUAUUUAAUUAGCAAAGAGCAAUUAUUUUUAUUUAAGUUUAUCUUAGAGGAGAAAUUGAAGAUUACCUUUUUCCUGGGCAUUUCUUUGCAUUCUCCAGACUCUAGGUAGUAGGUACUAGUUGUUUGACUCUUGAGUUUUUAUUAUGAGGAUAAACAAAUAGGAUUUUGUAUUAUAUAUCUUCUUUUGUUGUCUUCCUAAUCAGUCUGUAUUUAUGUGGAGUGUUUUAUUAGGAUAUCUUUAUGAUGGUGAGUUAUCUACUAAGUACUAAUGAACAUUUUUUAUGUGAGUUUUCAACUCCCCUGAAUGUUUGUUUAACAGGUUGAUUAUCACGAAUGUUUCAGAGUGUUUGACAAUCCCAAUGUCACCGUGCACUUCAAUACAGAGACUGUGGACAUUGUGAGCAAUACUAAAGGACAGAUGUCUGGCAUUUUAAUUCGAAAGAUUGAUACUGGGGAGGAAUCUGUGUUGGAGGCUAAAGGGCUAUUUUAUGGCAUAGGCCAUUCACCAAAUAGUGAACUGUUGAAAGGUCAAGUAAAACUUGACCAGUCUGGCUACAUACUUGUUGAGGAGGGUACUGCAAAAACUUCAGUUGUAGGUGUAUUUGCUGCUGGAGAUGUGCAGGUAACCUAUCGAGUGCCUUUCUGCAAGAUAGUCUACGAUUCUACAUUAAGAAGAAUAAUAGGGAGUAUUGGGAAUCAGAGCCUCAACCUGCUAUUAACAACAUAAUCUGUUAUUAAUAGAAAUAAAAGGAAAACUGUAGUAACUGUUUAGUUGGUUACUGUAUAUAGAGAGCUGUUAUAACUUAUAAGGCAUUUGUAGAGAGUAAUUGGAGGUUAUCCAUUGUUUUGGUUAAAAGAGGGAGAGAAGUCCAGUCUCAUACUGGGAGAGGAGAACCCACGUUCUACACUGCUAUUCACCUCUAUUCUUUUCACCUUGGUACCCAUUCAGAGAUUGUGUGCUUUAUAUAUAACGAUCCAUUACUGUAUCUGUACCUAAAUUAUGGUCCAGUUCUAUUGCGAUGCUACAUUGUCUACAAUAAUGUUAUACAACGUAUAUUAAGUUUAGGCAGUAGCUGCAAGAGUAGGAGGAUGUCAUUUGACCAACAUCUUAUAAAUAUAUAUCAUUUUUUAACAGUCACUGACAUAGCACAACGGCGUCAUUUGAUCCAUAUAACUAUUUUCUGAUGAGAUAAGGCUUUAUUAUUUGUUAAAAAAAUUUGAAAUGCCAUUUUUGGUGGCAGAAUUUUGACCAGUUCCCAUUAAAUUAAUUAUGAUAGCUGUUAAUAUGUAGAUGUAGCAUAUGUUUGAUUAUGAAUUAUGCAAAUUUAUUAUGAAGUUUAUUGUCUGAGUUUAUUUUGUGAUUUGCUAUUACCUUCUGUAUGGAAUAAAAAGUCACUGUGGUAGGCACCUUUAUAAAGUUUAUUUCUUAUACUCUCAUAGGACCAUGAGUGGAGGCAAGCCGUAACUGCUGCUGGAUCUGGAUGCAUUGCUGCUUUAUCAGUUGAGAGAUAUCUUGUUAGCAAUAAUCUUCUUAUAGAGUUCCAUCAGGUAUCAGAGUUCAAAGAGCUCCAAUUUUAUAUGCACUUAUUUUACUUCUUGUAUGUAUAACUAAAAUGAAUUGCAUAUCAUAUUGUCAGCUUACUAUGUUUUUUUAAUUCACGUUCUUAAUUAUUGCGCUUCACUCAGUAGAAGCAGAAUCGAUUUUAGCUGGAUUUGUUUGUAAAAUGUUUAUAAAUUGGACAAACAUACAAACCUUUAUAAAGAUAGUGUAUUGAAUUCUCAAAUCUACUGAGUUCCUUAAAAUUGUCAGUGGGAAAUGUUUGUAAGUAGUUCUCUAUUGGUUUUGGAGCUCAACUAAACUAUUGUCUUCGAGCAGUCUGCUGUAUUUCUCUUAUCCCAUUGACAUGCAAUGAAAUCUUAUUUAAUGACAUAGUGAUAGGUUGUGUGGGUGAUGUGCUGCAGAGGUUUACAGUGAAAGGAACAUAAAAACUUGAGUGUGCAUCAUUCAUUCUUAUAUUUUACUUUUUAAAAUCUUGCACAGACGACCUUUCUCGUUUAUAAAGCUAUUGACAAUAAUUCACAGUAAAUUAUUUUACCUAAAUAGGGAUCGUCUGAGGAAAUGUUGAUUAUUUACCUAGUGAAAUAGUGGGAAAUGGCUCUGGUUGUUUUGAUGGAUGUGGUCUGAUGAAGUCAUACACAUUUGGAUGCAAACCAAAGAGCACUUAUUGUAUUCGUACCUUAUUUAGUGCUUUUUCUAGUAGAUAAGCUCCAAUAAGCCCUUAUCCAAGCAGGCUCAUUACUAUUAGUGUUUUGAAUAUGCUUUUACUAAAAUCCUUGUUAUCUGCCGCUGUUCAGGAUCUUUCCAAGAGAAGGACAUUAAAGCAAAUAUGAAGAAAUGAUAUACCAACCUAUUAUACGUUUCUGUUUGGCCCUAUGUUUAAAGAAUAUGAAUGGCAUAAAUUUGUUGCUAGUAAACAAUAACAUACUAAUAAUAGGGAACUGUCAUUACAUUAAAUCAGUUGAUUAAUUCCCUAUUCAUGACAUGUCGUUAUAGUGUUGUUUGGUCUACGUAGCUGAUUGCGCCUAGUUGAAAGAGGAUUUCAAUGUUGUAGUUGAUUCACGCAGUAUAUUCCGAUACAAAUCUCAACCUUCCAAUUUUAUUUCCUGUUUCAGCCUAAAACUGAUGAGGUUAAGAAGGAACUAACAGACAGGGAUGUUCACGAGGGCUUUGACAUUUCACUUACAAAGCAUAAGGGACAGGUACGUCUUCCUUAUAGGUGCUUGUGCUAAUGGGAUUAAUUCUCAGCAUCUGUUAUGUUCAUAUAGUCUCUUUUUUAUUUAAUUCUUUGGUUUUAUUAUAAUAUAGGCUCUUAUUUGUGAUUUCCUCUUUACAGUAUGCUCUACGAAAAUUGUACCAUGAAAGUCCCAGGCUUAUAUGUGUAUUAUAUACGUCACCCACAUGUGGACCGUGUAGAACACUGAAGCCAAUUCUUAGUAAGGUAUGUGAAAAAGGGAGGUUUAAAGUUAUCUUAGUACUUGUUGAAUGAGAAAAAGACAAGAGGCACUAGUUGAAUCAGUGUGUUUCAACUACUCAGCAGGGUCAACUACUCAUGACAUUAUACGUAAGCACUUAGUAGGCAUGAAUAUACAAUGGUCUUGUGAUACUGAUAUGGUGGCAUGGUGCAGAACCUUUUUUUUUCAGUAAAUUAAAAAUGAAUAGCUACGCUGCAUCAUGCAUUGAGAUGUAUGGGACUAUGGGUCCAUCUACUGCUUGUUUUCUCGCUUUGGAAUGUAGUGGAAUAGAUCUACUUAGAUGUUAGGGUGUUCUCAAAAUCUCAAUAACAAUGUGUUAUGGACUAGAGCCGGCCCAGUCCGCAUUGGCCCACCUUGCCCGGCCAAACUGAGUAGAGUUUAGGGCCAGACUGCGUUUUGGGCCAGGAAUUUGGUCCGCAACACAAUACAUAACUCUUUGUACUUGACUGAAAUGAGUGCAUAUUACCAUGUAUUUGCAAUUUUACGUACAAGCAUGCUGUCAUGCCGUUUUGAAAUGAGUAAGCAUUGAUGUUGAACUGCUGCAUGGCAUAUGAAGUAAAUGAAACUACUUUCGCUUCCAUAUUUAUCAUUACUUUUUUUAACAUCUACCUUGGCAGGUGAUUGAUGAAUUUGAUCAGAAUGUACAUUUUGUCGAAAUUGAUAUAGAGGAAGAUCAAGAAGUAGCGGCAGCAGCUGGAAUCAUGGGCACUCCAUGUGUGCAGUUUUUUAAAAACAAGGAGAUGCUUAAGUGAGUCAUAUUUGAUCUAUUUCUCUAAUUCUCCUAUUUUUCAUGUACCAAAAUAUAAGAUUCAAGCAUAAGAUUGUUAUCAUAGUAUCCCUAAAAUAUGAACAUGAGCUGAAAAUGGAUAUCCUAAAGCUGCUCACUUCCAUCUUUAUGCUUAGUGACAGGCCUGCUUCAUGGAUAUUCUUGCUGGUUUUUGACCGCUGAUGAUUGUACACUGAUUUUGCAGGACUGUUUCAGGAGUCAAAAUGAAGAGAGAAUACAGAGAAUUCAUUGAAUCGAAUAAAUAAAAAAGUACAUAAAAACAUUGGAGGGUGAAACCCCAAUUCUGUGAUUCAAUUUUGUUUUCUUAUUGGCCAGCUGAAUAGCGCUGUCAAUUUUGACAACUAUUCUUUUAACUGAUUGCAACUUCAUAGAUUGUACAUGUAGAGAUACCAAUCACUGCUAUAAUUUUGAUUGUUCUACAUUAUAUUUUUCCUAUUUAAAUUACAGAAUCCCAACUAAGAACAUCUCAUUUACGACACCCAUCUUUUGUCAGCAUCCAAGCUGAAAUGACUGUCCAUAUUUAUUAUUUCUUGACAUUUUAAUUGAUAAGUCAUGGCAAAUUUAAUGUAACCUAUUGUCCACGUUUAUAUUAUACAUGUGUCAGCGAAAACUGCUUAACCCUUGUUUAAACAUUCUCUUCUUUCAAAACAUUGUUUUCUAUUAAAGAGAGAUGAUGCAACCGUGUAAUGGAGCAUGUUUGAGUUCAAAAGUUAAUAGAAGAGGAGGUAUUUCGGAUGAUCUAAUUUGAAGUCUAGUGAUCAACUUAGUUGAUCUGUGAUGGCUGAAUCAAUUGUUGCAUAAUCAAGUGACCAAUUUGGCCUUUACAGGAAGGGGAGAGAAUGUGAUUUUUGGUGAUUUGGGCUAUGUUUGGCAUGUCAUUUUAGCUUAUAGCUUAUUUGACUAGCUUAAAAGCUCUUUAAAAGUGUUUGGUAAAAGAGCUUAAUUCAGUAGCUUAAAACUUUUUUGAUAAGUUACCUCAGGUAGCUUAUAGCUUAAAGCUUAUUGAAUUUAGGCUAAAAAGCAUUUUUGGCCCCUGAUGUUUCAAGUUUGUGCAAAUUCUGCCCCUAUCUAUUUUUGUCGAUGUUUCUACCCCUCAUGUUUUCAAACAGUGCACCGUCUACCCCUCACGGAGGGGUAGACGGUGCACUGUUGAGGGGUAGACGGUGCACUGUUUGAAAACAUGAGGGGUAGACGAUGCACUGUUUGAAAACAUGAGGGGUAGAAACAUCGACAAAAAUAGAGUAAGGGCAGAAUUUGCACAAACUUGAAACAUCAGGGGCCAAAAAUGCUUUUUAGCCUUGAAUUUAUUCUAUUUUUUAUCCUUAUCAUUUUAAUAAAAUUCUAUAUAAGUAAUAUUAUAUUUUUUAGAUGAUAAAUAAAUUGAAUUAAAUUAAAAUAUUUAAAGUGGUAAUUAUUUUAAUAUCAUAUAUGUAUUGAUGUGUAAAUAAAAUAAUGUUAAAUGUAUAAAGAAUUAGAGAUUAAUUUCUAUACACCGACGGUGUAAAGUUUUUUUACACCGUCAACCAAUUAAAUUUUAAGAAUGUGAGAAAAUAUGUUUUUUUUUACUUGAUUUCAUUAAUUGACGUGACAAUCCUUACAAUAUGAUUGGUUGACGGUGUAAAAAACUUUACACUGUCAAUGCAUCAUUCUUUUUCUCAAAGAGAUUAUAAAGUAUGUCAUUUUUAUGUCAUUUUAUAAUUUGAGCUUGUUUAACAACUAGUUUUACUAAACACUUUUUUUCAAUGAGGUAGUUUUUCAGCUUUUUGUUUUCAGUUUUCAGCUAGCUUAUCAGCUUUUAGCUGACUUUUCAACUUUCAGCUAACUUAUCAGUUAGGCAUGCCAAACAUAACAUUUUCAUUUUUAUUAUAAUUGAUUAUAUUGCAAUUUUUUAUUUUUUUUAUUAGUAAAUAUUAUGUUAGUUGUUAAAUGCUAGUAAAUUAGUUCAUUCAGCAGAGUUUGAACCCUUACUCUUAAUCCGUCAAUACUCUUCAUUUCCCUAAGCUACCCAUCCCAUAUUCCCAUGUAUAAAAGGGAUGGCAAUAUACUAUUUUCUGUACUAAGAUCAGGUGAGAGAGUGUUUAAUAUUUUUUGAUAGGCAAUUAAAAUUAUAUUGAAAAGAAGUACAAAGGAUACUUCAAUCCAAUACAAGCAAAGAAAGAGAAAAAAUAAAACUGUUUACACUAACAUCUGCAGAAGCAAGCAAUACUUCUGCAACAAUUAUCCCAUCCCCUCCUUGAAGGAAGACUCUAAAGAAAAGACCUCAUUAAAACCUUACUAUGAAAAACCGUUUUGGGGAAAACCUAGUAAGAGAGUGUUUAAUGAAACAUCCUUCAAAACUUCUCGUGAAAUUUUAUAGAUAUGAUUCGAAAAUGAACUUACUGACCAAUUACUAACUAAAGUUACAAAUAAAGCCUUAGUUUAUGCUAAGCACUAAAUAACUAAAUCUUGAGCAUUGAGCACAAGCCUUAACUAAAAUGUUAAGAACAAGCAUUGAUCAAAAUGUUAGGCACAAGCCAUAAUAAUAAUCCAAUCACAAUGAUAGAAGCUAGCUAAAUCUGAUAUUGUUUCAAUGACACCCUAAUUUCAAAAUGAAUACAAAUAUGUUUUACAGUCUUUUCUUUUUUUAUUUUCCAAGGUAUCCUCACAGCAGUCUGUCAUGAGACUAACCUCCUAAGUCUUUGAGAUCAUGUUAAGUGAGUAGGCAUCUCCAACAAAUGUGUCUACAUACGCCCAUGAAUCAAAUCCUGAACUAGAUAUUUAAGGAGUCCAAUUAACUAUCUACUAAUUAUGCUACAUAUUGUUGGAACCUCACGGUCAUUCUAACUCACUUAUUUAUACUCCCUCUCUAGUUAUCUCCUACGACUAACUAUCUAUUAACCUCUAAUUAACCACUAACCGUGACUACCUAUCACAAGGCUGCACAAGCCUUGAUCAAAAUCAAGCAAUAGCCUGUAUUAAAAUAAAUAAAUCGGUGAGAUUACAUGGGGAAAGCAAACAAUAGCACGGAGCUUGGCGAAUUUCCAAGAUAAUCAAUACUUACACUUAAAUAUGUUUUGUUUUAAGAAAUAUUCAAAGGUGAACAUAAUUUUAAAAAAUAAAAUAUGUUUGACACGUCUAAUUUAAAAGCUAGAUCUUAACUCUUUGGUCAGCCCCUACCGCUUAGUGCGCUGACCGUGGGACGAGGAAUUAGUCUCACAGCUAUCGUCUAUGAGGAUACCUUGGUCAAGAAAAAAAACUAGAUUAAAGCUGAAAAAUUAAAUGAUUAAAAAUAAAUGUUUGGUAAAAUUAGUUGUUCACUAAAAUGAUUGGUGAACAUAAAAACAAGGCAAUGCAAACUACUACCGGUAACAAUAAAAAACUGGCACAAAAAAUGAGGUGUCCAACAGUGGUUUACAUGGUCUUGGAGUGUUAGUGUAUCAUUGUCGAGCCGUUAAAACAGUUAAAAUUGUAAAAUAACAUACAAAUGACAAACUAAUUUAUUUUAUAUUAAACAUUACUUUAUUUACAUUUUUUAUAUGAUAUUAAUAUUAAACUACAAAUGUCUGCAUCCGAUCCACUUAAUUUGCGAGCUAAUGAAUUCAAAAAUGAGCACAUAUUUUCCUUCUUAUAAUGUUGGGAUUCUCUUUUUAUAAUAAUUUUAGUAUCAAUUACGUCUUAAUUUAUACACAUAUAUAUACCGACACAUUCCUUCAGUAAGCCAACACUAUAUUCCUUGAUUUAUGGGAUGCCAAUAUACUACAGCCAGCAAUGAACUCACCCAUAAUAUGUACGUGCACUUAAUUCAGUCUUCAUGUAUAUAUGAACAUAAAUCUUACUCAAUACUGAUUCUUCUAAGGGUCAAAUCAGUUAGUGAUAAAUUAAAAAACUACAAUGAGUAUCUGCUUAUUGUCUUGAUUUAAUUCUGAUUGAAACAUUUUAAGAACAUCACAUACAGAAUCAGUGAUAUCCAUUAGGUGCAUGGCGGUGUGUUCCAUUUUUACACUAUUAAUGAAAAAAGGCAGGUGAAUUUAGCAUUUUAUAUAUAUAAAGAAACAACAAUUAAUAAAAUCUCUCAAUCACCUCGAGUCACAUCUUUCUCUUCCUCAUUUUAUUUUAUUCUCUCAUAUCAAUUUUUUACUAUAAAAGAUUGAAAUUAAAUUUACCCUAUAUACACUCUCAUAUGCGCCAUCCUUUGUGCAUCUCUUUUCUCCCUCUGAUCUUCUCCCUAGACUUUUGCUCUCUCUUUGUUGUGUUUAUAUAACAAUGGCUGACUACUGGGGGUAUCUCUUUGCUACAACAAAAAAUCCACCACCUCCCAUCAUCACCAACACCACACCACCUUCCUUGGCCAGUUUCACUUUCAAUGAAGAAGAAUAUAAUGAGGCAUUUUCUGAUGAGUAUCCUGAUUUGCUAAACCAGAUGCCCGCACCCUAUUGUUCCACCACCUACACCACUGCUAGUACUACCACUACUAGUAGUAAUGGUAUCAUUCUCAAUAGCAAUUCCACUGAUUUUGCAGGACAAAGCCACCAGCUUCUUGCUCCCCCUUCCAAGAAACGGAGACAACAUGUGCAGAAUCAACAAAAACAGUUUUUUCAAGUUCAAACAGGCGGCAAAGCAUCAGCAAAAAUAAGGUAAGAACUCGAAACUUUUCCUUUCAAAAUGGAUCUCAUUCGUUCAAAUUUCAUUGGUACUUUGAAACUUAAUCGAUUAGAACACAUUUGUGACUACAUUAAAUCAAAAUCCUUACAUUUCGUUUUACCUGUUGUGUAGAAAAAGCCUAGAGAAGAAAAUGGUGUUCUAUGUGACCAAAGAUCAACUCUCGUCUUCAGAUUCGUGGGCAUGGCGUAAAUAUGGACAAAAAUCCAUCAAGGGUACUCCAUAUCCAAGGUAACCUCUCAAUCAUGUUUAUAUCUUUUGAUUUGUUUUAUGAUUGGGAAAUACAUUUAUAUUUAUCAUAUAUAUACCAAUCCCUGCAUACAGGAACUAUUUCAGGUGUGUUGGAUAAAAGACAGUUCAGGUUUAUAUAGCGUAAGGUCUGCUUAUGAUUCACUACAAAUUGUUUCUCAACCUGUGGAGGGAAACGUCUUCAGUAAAUUAUGGAAAGCUAAGGCUCCUUCUAACUCCAUUGCUUUGGCCUGGACAAUUCUUCUUGUUAGAGUUCAAACAAAGGUAGACUUGGUACACAGAAAUGCUUUACCUGCUAAUUCAGGUGUGGAGUGUGGACUAUGUUUGAAUGAGGAGGAAACUUGCAGUCAUCUGUUUUUUGGGUGCCAAUUAAGCUGGAGGGUAUGGUCGAGAAUUUGUAGCUGGGUAAGUGUGUCUACUGUUUUGCAGCAAGAGCCUAUUGCCAACUUCUCACAUUUCUGUGUGCUCCAGGGAUCAGGUUCAUCCUUUUCUAAAGCUAUGGCUGUGAUCUGGAUUGCUACUGUGGGUGCAAUUUGGUACUAUAGAAAUGGAGUUGUUUUCAGGGGAGAAGCGGUGGAUGUUGACAGAGUUGUUGAAUUGAUACAAUUCAAGUCCUGGCUAUGGUUGAAGGUGAAAGGAAAAUGUACUUCUAUGUCUCAUUAUGAUUUUUACACACCCUGUACAUUGUAUGAAUUUGCUGAACUGAGCGUGGAGGGGAAAUGAGGUGCUGGUGGUCUGUUUUAGUUGGCUGUGUGUUUUAUUUGUGAUAAUACUAAUUUAGUAACAGUGUAGGUUGAUUUUUGGUGUGUCUAAUUUGAUUGUGAAAUAUAUUACAUCAUCUACAUGGUUGAUUUUGCUUACUGCUGCUUUUCCAAAUGGCAAUGGGAGUCUCGUGGCUGCAGAUCCUUUUAGUGAUAUUUGUAUCUUAUGUAAUAACAUGUGGAUAUGGGUACCCUGCUGCAGGGUGGCUAUGAGGACCAAUCUGAUAUGAUAAUGAGGAAUGUUGGUGGGAUACUUAUGAUUCUGGAAUUUUCUCUGCUGGAAGCUUGGAUGCUGUGGGGGGGGGCACUUCAUGACAGUGUUUAAAAGGAAUGUGGUUAAAAAAUGUUUUGUUCUGGAGGUUCUGUGUGGAGUGCUGAUGAGAAGUGGGGAGUGUUUUAAUUUAUUUUACUAGCUCAUUUAUUGGUUGCUGCCAGGAUUUUGGAUUGGCUAGAAGAAAAGACUUGAUGGCUAUGCUUUCUUUGAAGGAUGCAUAAAUGGGUUCAAAUUGGUGGUUUUAUUAUUUGUGGAUAGAUUGGUUUUGCUUGCUUGUGAAGGCAUGAGGAGUGAAGGGAAUUAUUUAGUCUGCAUUCUGGUUCAGAUCUUUUAUGGAGAAGCUAUUUCUUUGAUUGGAAAUAUUGAUCAAACAAUUAUCUGGGAUUCAUUCGUUCGUGAAUUAUCUUUUGUAUGGUUGGGCAGCUGAGUUUGGGGUGAGGUAUUAGAUUUCCUUGUAAACUUCCUUGAAAAUUUCCUCUUCACUUUUCAAAAUUGGUACUCUUUUUCCUUGCUAGGCUUUCCCAAGGGGGUUUUAUCCUAGUAAGGUUUUAAUGAGGCUUGUUUUGUUAAGUCUAUUUUCAAGGAGGUAUUAGGUGGGGUAGUUUCGACACUUUUAGGGUCUUUUGUACAUGUAAGUUUUAGCUUGUCUCUUCUUCUCUCCUUCUUUCUCUUUGUAUUGGGUUGAAGUACCCCUCGUACUUCUAUUCAAUAUAUUUCUUAUUGCCUAUAAAAAAAAAACAGCUCUAGUUGCGUGAAAGCGCGUUGAACGUAGCAAUGAGGAUAUGUUCAUGAUCACAUACACAGGAGAACACUCACAUUUCUAAACACUAACAUUUGAAAAGAAAUGAAGAAAUUACUCACCCCGUUAAAGUUUGUGAGAAUAACACUUAACUUCAUUCUUAUUUAAAAUACGUACCCCAAUAAUAAUCUCAGAAUUAUAUACACUUAGUUCAAUUCUUCUCUAAAAUCUCUGCUCCACCCCACCCCUUAAACACCUUCCAAAAAAUGCUAACAAAACAUUCCUUUAACUAAAAUAAAUUUAUUUAAAUAAAAAUAAUAAAUAGAAAAAUUUGUCUUCUAACAAAAUAAUAAAUAUAUUAUCAUAUAUAAAUAUUCUAAAUAUUUAUAAAUUAUCGAGAUCUUGGUGCGCUUCCUACUUACUCCCCUGUCAUAGUUGCAAUCUUGCAGCUCAUUCGCAUGGACUGGGGUCUCUCUGCUUCUAGUCCCUCGCAGUUGCAAUUUAGUGGCGGAAAAGCUAGCUCAUGGCUCUCAGUGCUCUUUCGCCUGCUUCGAUACUCGUCCUCCAGCAGUGCUAUCUUUUUUAGCCUCUGACAGAGGAAUUAGCUAGUUUUGAUGUUUUCCCUUUUUGUGGUUUUCUUAUAUUUCCUUAGCACCAAAAAAUAAAUUAUCUUAAAUUUAACUACGUAAAUUUAUUUAUAUUUAUUAUGGUAAAUAUACUUAUAAGGUAUAUUAACAUUUCUAUGAUAUUUUUAAAAGUAUAAGUGAAUAAAAAUAUUUUCAAAUUAAAUAUCCCUGUAGGUGCUAUGUUGGGCGGACUUUUCUUUGGGAUGUCGUUAUUCUGCUAUCUUUUUGGGUGGUUUUUUUCUCUUCCAAAAGGGCUUUUUUUUGGUAUAAACAUAUCGCAUCGGUCACUCUUUGUAUGUCGCUAGAUUUGGGACAUAGUCACAGUUAAGGCUCCUCAUCCCUCCCUAGAAUGUAUUGUGUGGGGAUCAAACCCGAGUGUACAUCCCACACACUCGGCAUGCGUUGCCAACUAAGCUACCCUUCUUAGAUCNNNNNNNNNNNNNNNNNNNNNNNNNNNNNNNNNNNNNNNNNNNNNNNNNNNNNNNNNNNNNNNNNNNNNNNNNNNNNNNNNNNNNNNNNNNNNNNNNNNNNNNNNNNNNNNNNNNNNNNNNNNNNNNNNNNNNNNNNNNNNNNNNNNNNNNNNNNNNNNNNNNNNNNNNNNNNNNNNNNNNNNNNNNNNNNNNNNNNNNNNNNNNNNNNNNNNNNNNNNNNNNNNNNNNNNNNNNNNNNNNNNNNNNNNNNNNNNNNNNNNNNNNNNNNNNNNNNNNNNNNNNNNNNNNNNNNNNNNNNNNNNNNNNNNNNNNNNNNNNNNNNNNNNNNNNNNNNNNNNNNNNNNNNNNNNNNNNNNNNNNNNNNNNNNNNNNNNNNNNNNNNNNNNNNNNNNNNNNNNNNNNNNNNNNNNNNNNNNNNNNNNNNNNNNNNNNNNNNNNNNNNNNNNNNNNNNNNNNNNNNNNNNNNNNNNNNNNNNNNNNNNNNNNNNNNNNNNNNNNNNNNNNNNNNNNNNNNNNNNNNNNNNNNNNNNNNNNNNNNNNNNNNNNNNNNNNNNNNNNNNNNNNNNNNNNNNNNNNNNNNNNNNNNNNNNNNNNNNNNNNNNNNNNNNNNNNNNNNNNNNNNNNNNNNNNNNNNNNNNNNNNNNNNNNNNNNNNNNNNNNNNNNNNNNNNNNNNNNNNNNNNNNNNNNNNNNNNNNNNNNNNNNNNNNNNNNNNNNNNNNNNNNNNNNNNNNNNNNNNNNNNNNNNNNNNNNNNNNNNNNNNNNNNNNNNNNNNNNNNNNNNNNNNNNNNNNNNNNNNNNNNNNNNNNNNNNNNNNNNNNNNNNNNNNNNNNNNNNNNNNNNNNNNNNNNNNNNNNNNNNNNNNNNNNNNNNNNNNNNNNNNNNNNNNNNNNNNNNNNNNNNNNNNNNNNNNNNNNNNNNNNNNNNNNNNNNNNNNNNNNNNNNNNNNNNNNNNNNNNNNNNNNNNNNNNNNNNNNNNNNNNNNNNNNNNNNNNNNNNNGAUCUAAUGUGUAUGGAGACUGAUAAGUAGGUGGAGCAGCAUUUCCAUAAUCGUACAUCCUGUAGCUAUUCUGACCUGCAUAAGAACCACUAGAUCGGUAACCGAGGGGACCCAAAUUGUCAACAGGGAGUGAGUAGUGCUGUUGUGAUAUUCCAGCUGGGCUUUGUGUGUGGGAGGUUCCAUAGGUUGCUGCCGCGUAAGGAUUAGCACUGGAACCAUCCAAUAUAGUCUGGCUGGGGUAGCUGAAUGGUCCAGAAAAUCUUGCACUUGGACUAGGCUGUAGAGAGGGUGGUGCCAGGUUCCUGCGACUAAAAGAUGGUCGGUAUGCAUUGGGUUUUGCUGAUUUGGCUGGACGGGAAGAGCUGGAACUGUUACCACGACCGCCACCUGAUCCGUAGGCUCGCUUUUUCGGAGGCCUAAUUACAGUUGAUGAACUCCUCUUCCUUUCAGCCUUAGUUCUCCCCAAAUGGGUAACCCGCUUCCUCAGUUUAUCAAGGCUGAAUUCGGAUUCAAGUUUGUGAUCUUCUACACAUCUGAUUAUAGCCCUUAUGGAAUUCAUCUCAAGAGUACUUGAUUCAUCCUGAAAAACAACAUAGAGAUGUCAGAAAGUGGUCCAUUGCAGUAUAUGGAACUGAAUUAGAAAGGUAGUUAUCCAGACCGUUGCAGCCUGACUGUUGUUUCCCUUCGCUAAUAUGGUAGCAACAUUCUUUUUGUAGUUUCGAACGUAAGACUUGAGCAGGUCGAUAGGAGGAAACUUCUCAGUCAAACCAGAUUCUGAAGCAAAAUAAACAGCUUCUAUCUCUUGGCCAUUUUUAACUAGUUCUUCUAUAAUUUCUGCACAGAACACUAGCUUAUAUCAGUAUUUGCAUUGGCCAGAAAAUGAAUCACAUAUCUAACAAAAUUCUGCCUCCUAUUGCAUCGAAAAGUGUAGAAGUAUUAUAAAAUGUGUCAAAUAAAAAGGAAUCACGGUAAAAACUGUGUGAUCACAAGCUGAAAUUUCUCUUACAAAUUGAUUUGAAGCAAUUUAUCCUUCCUACUUCAACUUUAUUAUCAAGAAAAUUUAAAUCCUAAGCACUAGCACAUCUACAAGAAUAAAUGUAAUGGGAAAGGGGAAUUUAUGCAAAUAUAAGACAUCAAGACAUUUAAUUAGGGGUGCAUAAAGGUAAUAAGAGACUUGUAGGAUGCUGUGGCCUGUUGACAUGUACCUAGUAGCAGUAAUGGUCAAUGCUUUUAAGUCGAUAAAAGCUAUAUCCAAAGAAAAGAAACAAACAACUUCUUUAAGAAAACAGUUUAAAUUUAGUAAAAAAAUCCCAUAGUCUUGCACUAAAUUUGAUCACCAGAACAAUCCCUUAGGUUUAUCAAAAUUACUUCCCUAUUUAAAUUGAAUAAUAUAUUAAAGGGAAUACAAACGUAAGGAGGAAUAAAAAAAGGGUAAAAUGCAAGGAAUCUCCUUCAACACCAUGUGCUGAAAACCCCACUAUGCUUCUACACUACUCAAUAUGUCUCAUUGAGCUAUCAGAAACAUGUGCGAAACAGCUUCUGUUAACUCUCCAUCCAAGCGUCUCAUACACUAAAGAGAAGGAAACUCAUGCAAGGGUACGUGAUUUGUGAACCCUAAAUGGCUAAACAAUAAUUUUUUCUCAGUCUAUAUCCACUAUGUCCCCCACCACCACUAUUUCCCUCACAAUUUUUUGCAGUACUUCAUUCCUACUUAGACUUCCCUUUUUCUUCACCCAUUCCCACCAUUACUCCGCAUAAAAUUUCAUGCCUUUUCAUUUCCAACCCUUUUUUGCUUCCAUCUUUAACACCACCUGCAGGCCAUGGACGGAGCCAACCUCCAACUUCUAUUGCCAGCACCACAAAAAGAAAGUCGUGCUCACAACACAAUUAAUGCCAUCAUAACUGGACACUACCAACUCAAACAAAAUGGAAGUUUACAGAGGAAGAGUUGCAGAAGGGUGUCCCCUCAGCUGAAAGAGGCAGAUUGGGACCUUCAGAAUGUGGUUUCAGUCAACUCUGAUAACAAGGGUGUUUUGUUAGUGACAUUGGUGGAGUGGUGGUGUGAAGGCUGUGAUUUUUGAAGGAGUUCAUUGCCAACUAAAUCAAGCUAGUCCUUCAGCUCAAAUUUUCCUAAGUUUUAGUUCCCUUUCUCUCUGUUUUACUGAUUUGGAUCAGUGACCUGGAAUAAAACAGUCUGAUAUGUGAAGACACAUUUAGAAGAGAGAAUUUGUUUGGCUUUGCAACCAUAACACUUGGGCUUGCAUAUAUAGUUUCAAGCAGGAUAAUUUUUUACAGGUUUGAUGUUUGAAAGAUUUAGCCCAUGAUUAUAAAAUAAAAACACAGGCAUGCAAAUAGAAGAUGGGGGUCAGUAAAAAUAGGAAACAAUAGUAGGUGGCAAAGCAAAUUUGUUCUAAAUGCAAAUGGGGCUGUUAGGACUUAGGAAUGACCUUCCUGUUAAGGUAGUCAAGGGAGAGUUAAGAGAUACUUUUCUGGGAGAUCAAGGGAAUGGCGUUAGGUAGUUUAAAAGCGCAGGGAGCUAGUGCAUAUAACUUAGAAGAGGCUGAUAAUUUUACAAGCACUUGUAAGCUGGUGAAAUAUAUAACACAAAGUAUCGCCUUUUCAAUUCUAGUCCUCAGGGCUCCUUGUUUUUAAGCCCAUAGUAUAUAAAUAUACGUAGAAAUUAACAGAAAAGUGCAAAAUGCAUCAAACUGACACCAGAUUUAAACGCAAAACAAUUGAGAGAUUCUUUUGAUUCUCUUUAUAAUGUAAAUGUAAACCAAUGACAAUGAGGGUUGAAGAUGGCCCUUCUCAGUAAAAGAGGACUAUAAACCGCAUGGGGUAAGCCUUAACUACAAGAUUCUAAUCCUUAGCCAAACUAGUGUUGCAGAAAGUAAAGUUGCAUCUUAAAAUGUUACUUGAGCAGACAAUACAUAAUUGAUUAAGUAAUGCAAAAAGAAUACGAACCUAUCAUCUCGUCGCCGAAAUCCAAUGAAGCAGCAAGCUUUGCCAUAUCCCUCCUGGUACCAAACUCCAUGACCAGCUUCCUCAAAUACUCCUCAUCGAACCUGGACCUCAACCCAAAGCACACCACCAUCUGCAUAAACAUCACCACCUCCGCCGCACCCUUCUCCGUAUCACUAUCCAUCUGCUCCUUCCACGAAUCCAAGAGACCCACAGCUCUCUCAACAACCCUUCUAGAGAACCCCGGCGAGUCCGAACUCAGAGCCUGAACCAGAAGCCCACAUGCCCACCUCUUAUCGGUGAGCCCAGACUUAGAACCCAUCAUUUUGCUAUUGAGAAAUUCCUCCACCGCGUCCAACACCAGCUUCGGCGGGUCCACCGCCUCCGCUAUCGCCGGCGCUAUCUCCGCCCUCAGCCACGACGACUCCUUCCGCUUGGAAACAAUGAACCGCAACAACGCGGAAGAGUCCAUCUUCCGCGAAAGGGAUUUCAACGUGGCGGGCAAUUCGGAGUCCGACGGAAGGGGGUUUCGGAACUCAGCGAUAGCGGCUUCCUUCUGCUCGUCGAUACGAGCGGCAGCGGCGGACUCGCGCUCCGGGAUGGAGGUCUCGUGGGUGUUGAGCGAUUCGAGGGUUUCAUUGUAGUGGGAAUCUAGGGUUUGGAACUUGGAUUCGAGGGAUUGGGUUUUCUCGGAGAGGGAAUGUUGGAGGGAGGAGAAGUGGGUGGAGAGGGUGGUGAAUAGGUCGGUGCAGGUGGCGAUGAUGCUCUUGUGGGUUUGCAGUUCCUGGAAGAAUUGUUCGACCCUGUCAGAGGGUGGUGUUGUUGCCAAUUUGGUCGCCAUUGUUGAGUCUCCGAGAGCAACACGAAGAACCCUAAUAAUCGUUUUCAGAACAAGGAAAAUAAUGCACUUGCGAAAACUUUUACACUUGGUGCAUAAAAAUGAAACUCUAGCUAUCUCUUUUUCUCUAUAUAUAAUUUUCUGAAAACUCAUUUCUAAAUAGAGAAAGUUAUAUUGUGUGAAUCUUUAAGCUGAGUUUAUUAUGUCUAGAUAUUUGUUGACAAGUCAAAAUAAUUUUAUUUUCAAUGGCAAAGGGAGGCUCUUAUUAAAAAGUUCUUGACAAAAUAUCGGAUGAUGAAUGGGCUUAUGGGCAAGAAUACAAUUAGGAAAAUUGGCAGUCCAAACAUCAUUCUCAUGAGUAAUGAGGGUUGAGCCAAACAAUGUGCCACACAAUUGGCAUCCUUACGCGCGCCAAUUCCAUCUCUGAUAGGGGAUCGAAUGCGGCGUCUUCAAAACCUCGCCACUUGAGUCGUAUGUGGGGGAAAUCACACGUGCGGUUCUUAGGAGCGAGAGUUAGUAGGAACCAUCCGAACAAAGGAAAAGGAGAUGGAGCUAAACAAAGAAACCAUAUCAGCAAAAUAUCGUAACACUAGCCCUAGAUAAGAAUUUUGUCUCUCCUUCCCAACAAUUGUCUUAAUCACAAACUUGUAGUCAAACUCUAACAUAAUUUGUGAGAAACACAACCUCAAAAGUCAGGUUUAUCCCAACUUGAAGUGCAACGCUUCGGCAACCGUAACCCCAACACUCAUCUCCUCCUUUUUAUUAGGAGCGCUAUAAGUACCUUCACAGUUCCAAACACCGGAGCCACACCCCCAUCUACCUAAAGUGUCAGCCACAUCCAAAUUGAUCUUAUGGGAGCCUAUCGUCGGAGGGAGUCAAUGCCAUUAUCAUAUGAACACAAGCACCAGCAAACCGAGUGCAACACAAGCGGCGUGAGUUGUUAAUAUAAUACUACCAAACCUCUCAUCAAAAUUAUGAUCUACAUCAUAAGAUUAAGAAAAACCUGAAAUAGAGGAGAAUCACACAUGCUUGCUCAACCAACAUUCACGAAACACAUGAUUCAAACACUACACAACUCCAUCACUUGUAGCGAAAAACACUCUUUUAAUAAAUUAAGAAAAUAAAGUUCCCUCACACACUUAAUACACAAUUGGAUAAUGGAAUAUAAGUUUAGGUGUUAUCAGCUUAAAUUCUUCAAGUUCUUUUUUUUUUAUAACUUAAAUUCUUCAAGUUCUUGAUUCUAUAUGUUACUUCAUUUUCUCCAUCUUGCGGAAAAGAAUAAAAUAAAGCAUAAAAGUGCAUAAAAAAGCAAACCGCGUCUAAAAGGAACCGAUGGAUGAGAAAGAAAGUAAAGGCAAAAGGAAUGGAGAUACUAACAAGUAACAAUAAUGAAUAAUCAUAUCUUAAUUAAUCUCUUCAAUAAUUACAUGGAGCAUAAAAAAUAAAAGAAAAUCCAGAAAUUCCAUCGACAACUAAAAAUUAAGAGAAAAUAAUCUCAAAUAAUAAUCGUUGAAAUAGAACAGAAAAAUGAAUCAAUGGAAGAUGUAUGUGAUCGCCAGAGCCACCAGCAAGAGGAGGUAAGCAAUUCCUUGAUCCAACGCGGCGCCAUCACUGGUAGGCGCAGGAGCAGGCGCGGAAACAGGAGAAAACGCGUGAGCACCGCCGAGAUCGGAGAUGGCGAAGAGAACCAAACUGAGAAUCGCGAAAGAGAAAAACCUCACUGAUUGCAACAUUUUUCCGGGAAAAUUAAUCGAACAGAGAGAAAAUCGAUCGAGGUAUGAGAGAGGAGAGAAGUGAAAAAUUGGUAGUUACUAGUAGAAUUUGUGAAGGAUUUGAAUUUGGUGAGUGAAGCGUGGAAGAGGUGUUAUUUAUAGGUGAAGCGAAGAAGAAGAGUCUCUUGUACUGAAAGGAAAUUUUCAACUAAUGGAAGGAAGGAAGGAAGGAAAGUGUGAGUUUCCAGAAACGCCACCAACGACGACUAAACUCGGAUUCCACACGCGUUGAUUAAUAAUUUUCAAUUUUUUUUAUUUAUCUUAUAAGAUUACUAAUUAUUGUUAUUUUACCAUGAAAAGAAAAGAUAUACUGUCAUGACCAAUUAAAUACCAUUAUUAUCUACAUAUACAAUUGAAUAUUCUAUCAUUUUGUAUCAAACACACACGUUUUACAUAUGAUCACUCACUAGCCGUUGUUGACAAUAUUAUUAUCAGCAACUGAUUUUGAAGAUAAUAACUAUAAUACUUACACAAUCUAUAUUUUCACGCUUUUUGUUUUUCACAUGAGAAAGAUAAUUUGCACGAAUUAAUCACCGAACCUCCUACAUUCAACCUAUGUGUUCCCUGACUUUUAUUACUUUGGCUAUCAUUCGGAGACAUUUUUCCUUAGUUUACAUGGAGGAUUCUUUAUAAAAUUACAAAUUGAAAGUGAUUUUUUUUGAACUAUUGGAAGUAAUUAAGAUAUGCAAUCAAUUUUAUAUUUAAGUGUGUACUUAUUGGUAGGGUUGUACCACGAGUUGUUGGUUCAAGCAAAGAACUAACCAAACUUGUUGGGUUGGGUUGGUUUUUCAUUAACUACAUUACAGUUCCAAACACGAACUAAUCCAGCCUGACUAAGUUUAAAGAAUGUGAAAAUGAAGUGAGAUUAAGUGUGUUAGAUUAUGAGUAAUGAGUGUUUGAAAAUGAAGAUCAUGAAGAUGGAGAACACUUGAGUAUUUUUUUUGUUACAAAGGGAAAGAAAAUUAGAAUAACAAACUACACUACAAUUGUAUUUUAAUACAAGGAUGAGAUCACAUUAGAGGGAUGAUGCUUCCAGAUGCGAUGCAAAAAACCAUCUCUCGACGCUUGCGAGCUAACAUGUUCGUCGCAUUAUUUGCAUCUUGAGAGAUAUGAACAACCGUAACAUGCCAAUCCCAAAGAAGCAUGACUCUGAUUUUGUAGAUUGUAUCCCUCUCCCAAUUACUACUCAUGUCAACAGUAGUUGAAGAACGCCCACCACUGUCAUACAAUCUAAGGCACGUACAAUAUUUCGGAAGCCAAGGUUCCACCCAUGCUGCAUACUUGUCUUGACUACUAGCAGCUCGACGAAAUUCCCAAAAUCUAGUUGUUUGUCGCACCCUUCAUGACUGCACUGUAACCAUUCGCGCCACACUCUAGUUCAAGCUUCAUGUUAGAUAUGCAAAACAUCUUUCAAAUUACGCUUGUUUUGUUAAAAACAUACAUCUACAACCCUAGAUAUCAGUGACAUUUUACUCGAGUAAUGAUACAUUCACACUUCAUUUUCUCUCGCAUCUCAUUUCAACAUACUUUUUUUUCUAUCUCUGUAAGCGUUUUCUGUCACCUUACCUAUAAUAUCACUAAUUUCUCUCAUUUCUCUUUUCUUAUUUAUCAAGGUGGAGGUGAAAAAGUGGUGUCCUCUUAUACCUUGCACAAAAUCCAGUGGCGGUUAGCCAUCCCCUUACCUUACCCGCCUCAUUAAGGCCCCUUUCAUUUUGUUCCGGUAUGGAACUAUCGAGCAAGGGCUAACCAGUUUGAGAGCGAUAGAGAAUGAACGAAACUAGAAAAAUGCCUGAAAAAUUAGAUCCCCCACCGCUUGGGUGGUGUCUGAUAUUUAUAGAUUGAGUUUCGGUCCGCCCGGACCAUGGGUUGCGUGACCCAUAUUUACAUUAGGCUGAUAAGCCCAACUAAUCAAUAAGCCCAUAUCAGACCACAAGCCCACAAGACACCGAGUCUUAAAAGCUUUAAGACGAAGUGUGUCUUUUUUCGAGCCCACAAGUAAUCAACUCACCCAACACUACACAAAGACUAACAAGUAAUUGACACGCCCAAAAUGUGCAAAGGAAAUAAUGGGCACACAGGCUCCAAAAUCAAAAUUUAAAAGGCAUAAAAGCUAAGUAGUCAUUCCUUUGUCAUUUCAACUUUUGCUGUUACUUCUUGAUCUUUGUGUAGCGUGUGCAAGUUGACCAAAAUCACCUCUUCGCAUCAAUCACAGCCUCACUGUCAUUAUCAUGAAUAAUUUUCUCUUCCCCUAAACCAUGAUUACAACCUGCUCUCAUAAUACCACAAGUAAUAAUGCACAAUAAUUUGAAACUUGAACAAAAUAAAAGUUGAAGACUUAAAUGUAAAUCAAUAACAUGGAACACACUUACUUCAUAUCGCUUGCACAUUCAUCUAUGCUCAGUGUAGUGUAUUCUUUGUAAGAUGAACUUUCCAUCAGAAUCAUUAUGUGUUUCUUUACUUUUCAUCGGAAUUGAUCCGCCUUCAUCAUUAUUCAAGCACAUCGCUUUCUUAUUUUACUGUAUAUAGUAAAAUACUCUUGAGUGAAUCUCAAAAUUUUAUAAAGUUUAAACUUAAUCAACUACUUUUGAAUCAUAAGGCCUUCGUGUAUAUAACUUAGUCAAAUUUUCAUUUUUGACAUAGUUAUUCAUGGAAAUCAAAGUCACGAUAUUUGAUUUCAUUAGUAUGCUCGCGUGGAGACUUGUGCUUAGUUUGGACAAGCUUAAAUCCAAUUUAAGACUGUGCUUAUGAAUUCGUGGUCGAAUGCUCUUGUUUUAAGAGACUUACUCUUUUCUCAAUUGUCUGACGUCGCCCAAUUGAUAGACCUUAGUUGAUAAGUUUCCGCUAUGGGUAAAAGAAAUAAGUAAAAUGAUACGCCCUUGAUCACUUUAAAAAGGUUAUGCCUCGUUAAAACUCUCCCGCCUGGGGUAGAGAAAAGAGUGCAUACCUGUUAUUCAUUUAUAGUUGAUGCCUCGUUAAAAACUCUCCCGCCUGGGGUAGAGAAAAGAGUGCAUACAAAUAAAAUGUUACGCCCUUGAACAUUUUAUAAAAGGUUAUGCCUCGUUAAAAACUCUCCCGCCUGGGGUAGAGAAAAGAGUUCACGCUUGUUUUUUUCUCUUUUUCUGUACAUAAUGUUGUGUGCUUUGACUGGUUUUAGUCAACUCAUCACCACUUUCGAAAGUCACCGGCACAAAUGUCAUAUCUUUGCGCCUUUGGGACUUGGGCAGGGCGGUCCAAUUUGCGUCGCCCUACUCGCUUUUCACGAUUCCAGACUUCAUGUUCUUUGAUACCAACCCACUUCUUGUUCACAUGCCUCCUCCUAGGAAGUGUCUGUCAUUCUCAUCUCCUAUUUUGAGCUAGUCCAUCAAAUAGGCAGUGCACAUACAAGCCCCCCUGGUACAUGAUUGAAGAUGUCUAUCAUCAAACCAGAAUGUUCAGACUUAAACAAACUACUCCCUUCCUGACUAUUGCAUACUCAGAUCAGUUCAUGCUGACUCAUACACAUAACAACUCAUGCAUAUGCAUCCUCACAAGCAAACAAAUAACCGAUCAAUUAUUUUCUUCAUUUGUAACAUGAAUUCAAUUUUGGUACUGCAUAUGUUAAAGCAGGCAAUUCUACAACCGGAUAUCACAGACAAGAUCAAUGCAGAAAAGAAUGAGAAUGCUGAUCAGAAGUCCGAAGCAAAUCAAUUCAGACAGAACAAAGACAACAGAAAACUGUAUAAACACAAGUUAUGAUGAGGAUGAAUGGAAGAAGAUUCCUGAGUCACAUUUGCUCAACAAUUCAGAGACCUCGAAAGUACUAUUCAAAAGCCACUGCUAAGGAGUUACAAAAAUCACAAACAAAAGUUAUUAUGUUUUGAAAACUCAGCAUCCUUCUCUUUGGUUUUUUGUCAGUUCUAUUUGAAGUCCUAAAGACAUAUAUAGCAAAGUCAGCAUUGAAGUUAUAAUUUCUUGAUAGCAAGUUGAUCAAAAGGAUUUGUAAAAGAAAACAUGACACGUCAACAGUCAUAUUUAGAACAAACGAAGGUUUAUAGACCUCAAAAGUACUAUUCAAGUAUACACAUAGCAUGAUUGGAGAUCGACUAUUUAUGAAUUCAAGAAAUCCAACAUCGUGAGGGCAAGUCACGCGAGGAAAUAACCACUCAAGAUAAAAUCAAACUUUGUAUUAAAGCAAAACACUUGGUGCUGAAGCCAAAACGAACUUUAGAAAACCAAUUUCCAGCCAGAUAUUCAUGAAGCACAAAAUGCUGCAUAAUUCUCCUAUGCAGAUAACUCUAAAAAGUUAUGGAAGCAUUGUCUCAGGCAAGAAAAGCUCAUGAAUAGGACCAUCAUCUUAUGAUAAAAAGUACAGCAAACAUAAUCCAACAUUAUCAAGCCUGCUAGCAUUUCUUCUACCAUUUUCAAAAAUGGAAAGUUGAACAGUAAAGAAAGUAAAAUUACACCAAUUCAUAUCACAAUUUCAGUCAUGAUACCCCAAUUUAAAUGAUAGAUAAGAAUUCACAUAUGCAAAAUUAGCAAAUCAAUCUAGUGGAAAGGAAAUAACACUGCCCUGGUACAUGAUGACAGAAUUGACAAGCAUUAUGGCAUUUGAAGAUGCAAAGUUUGGCUGAAGCAUUUCGUCGAACAGUUGGUGUGCUCCAACUCAUAAGCUCCUUCUUCUUAAUCCGCCAUGCCCCCCUCUUUCUCGUAUCAAACACAAAGAAAAGAAUGAUGGAAUUAAUUUCAAACCAUUGAUAAUCGGAGCACAAAUCUAAUGGAAACAAAACUGAAACAGAAAGUAGAAGAAAUAUUUGGAGGAACAAGGAUCUGUUUGAAUGGUCCUGAAUCAAUUUGGUUUUAUUGAACUCAUGGGCGAACAUGGACGAUUUCGACCCAGAGUGGCGGUUGAGAAAGCAUGAGCGGUUGCAAACUCCGAAAAUAGCAGUUGAGACAAAAUGGUCGUUUAAAUUCUGGUCGUGGCGGUUGAAAUUGAGUGGGCGGUUGCAACUCAAAAGUGGCGGUUGUGCAGUUCCAAAAUGAAUGAAUUGGGAUCUGUUGAUGGUUUUGAACCAGGUCCGGCUACAGAGGUGGUUCUCCAUCUUGAUUUCCAAACCCAAAUUGUGAUCCUCCAACCUUCAAUCUACUUGACCUCUGUCAUUUGUGAAGUUUAGGAACUGCAAAAUUGAAAAAGGAUUGAAAGAGAAGGAGCAUGGACGAUGGUAAAGGCGAACCACUUUGUUCAACCCUUCCACCGCCCACAAAACGCAUCGCCCGCGAGCACCAAGGAGUUUCGCCGCCUCCGUUCACGUCCUCUUCGUCGUCGACGCCCGCGAGCACCAAGGAGUUCCGCCGUUUUCUCUUCUCUGCUCUCCUUCACGUUUCCUCUAUCUGUUUCCUAAUGUUGUUUGAGUGGCGAAGCAGAUCCAUCAAACAUGAAUGAUUUGUGUCUACCAUGAACUCCCAUUCUCAUAGUGCGUUGAGCAAAUUUUUGGUUUGAUGUAACCAUCCUUUUGAAACUGACAUUUUGACAUAAAUUGAUUGCAUCGCUUUCCCUUCAAUUUCGUUCGCCCUCCUCUCUCAGAAGUAGAAAUCACAUAGCCUCUUGUUCGUGGUAGUAGGGAUUUGUUUUACAGAAGCCCCACGGUGGGCGCCAAUGUUCCGGUAUGGAACUAUCGAGCAAGGGCUAACCAGUUUGAGAGCGAUAGAGAAUGAACGAAACUAGAAAAAUGCCUGAAAAAUUAGAUCCCCCACCGCUUGGAUGGUGUCUGAUAUUUAUAGAUUGAGUUUCGGUCCGCCCGGACCAUGGGUUGCGUGACCCAUAUUUACAUUAGGCUGAUAAGCCCAACUAAUCAAUAAGCCCAUAUCAGACCACAUUUAUAUCCAAGUGAGCAAGCACAUGCCACGUAGGAGUAACUCUUGGAUUAGAGGCACGAAACAUGCUCACGUGGCAGCAUCAGAAACAGGUGGCUACAGAGAGUUGCUCUGUUUUCUUCUUUGGCCCACACACAUACACACACUAGCUUUGUUCAAUAGUGGCUUUGGACCAAUGCAGAGUGAUAUGAUAUGUCCAAAUUCCAAUUCCAAUUCCAAUAGAAAAACGCAAACACAAACCACUCUCAAGGAAUCUAUCUACAAAUUUAUGAGCCUUUAGUUUGAGCCAAACACUCAAGAUCACUAAAGAGGAAUAAGAAAGACAGAGAAGAAAUAGAAGAAAAAAUGUGUCAAGAGUUCCUUUUGUGGCGGUGCACAGAAUUAGAUGGCAUGUGUUCAGGGGGGCAGUAGUACUACCUAUGGUGGUUGAAGGGCAAGAACUGGCGGUGACAGCAGAGGCUAGCAGCGAAGGUGGAAGCUCCGGCGAGGUGGGAUCAAUGAAGCGGUGUGUGUGCUCGCCGUCACAGCAUCCAGGGUCAUUCCGGUGCCGGCAACAUCAAGCUAAGUAUGUGUGGCGCAACAACAGAACAGAGCAAUCAAGUAGAAAAAUUGAGGUGUGAUUCAAUAUAAGCAUGUACGUAUUAAAUCAUUUUUCUUCACCCUUUUGUGUUAAAUAAGCUAAUGCAAUCAAGGAUAUUAAGGUGUGGUUGCCGAAGCCUUGCGAAUUUGCGCAUUAAUGUAGAUUGAUACGGCCGCAAUUGUGAUUGACCGGUGUGAAUAAGGUGACUCCAAAAUCUGUUAUGAUGUUGUAAUUGUGGUUAUGAACUGCAAUUUGAAACAUAAAUGCAGUAUAAUUAUAGGAAUUAUAUCACAUGAACUUUUGUCAAGUAACUCAUCUUUCAUUUGAUCGAGUGCGCAAAUUGUAUAUGCGCAAGAAUUGUUUAUCCAUUUCUUUGACAUUGUUGUUAUUUGAUUGUUUCUGUGAGGAGAGAUAAGAAUGGAAUUGAGGAAAGUAUUUGUAGAAAUCUACACAUCCAACAUGAAAAUUAAGAGUCAUUUUACAUCUAAUUAAUGAUCUGAGCUAAUUGUCUGAGUUAAGCUGUACUACAUUAAACACAUAGGUACAACAUUAAGUACAGCUCAAAUUUUAAAUGGUGAGAUGAUGAAUUAAGAUAGCCGUAAGAUGAUGAAAAUUAUAGGAAAAUUGAAGAACAAAUUAAAAAUGAGAGGUGAAGAAAACUAAAUAAAUCAUGAGCUUUAGCCUUAAAAUGGGGGAUCAUUGCAUCUUCCUGGACUUUUUUCAACCAAAGAAUAUAUAUAAAUACUGCAUAUAUUGGACUCAUUCUUCUUUCUCACGAGAAUUAGCAUAAACUUAAUUUAUAAAGCAUCCAAUCUUUACCCUUCGUUUAUAUUCUUCCCCUUUUGUUUAUUCUUGGCAAUUGGCAUAUUCACUACCACCUUUUUUUUGUUGGUCACUCCCACCACCUAAAAUGACUUAAAUUGCAACAUUGGGCUGAAUUCAAGCAAAGGCCCAAGCCUUAAGUAUCCUCACAACAGGGCUGACCCGCAUGAUGCUAGGAGAAACUCGUUAGAGUUCUUGUGCUAGUUUUUUUUUUUUUCACAAUGUAUGGCAAGCCCCAACUUCUGGGAUAGGAAACUCCCAUACAAUCCCCAUAAAGGAGGUAACUACAUCCCACAGGGGGGGGGGGGGGGGGGGGGGGUUCAGCUAAAUGGAGAGUCCCAAAACUAACAGAAUGGCCUAAGUUAGCUAAAAAAUCAGCUACAAAGUUCCCCUCUCUUCUAGUGUGAGCGAAUCUCACUUCCCAUGGUUUCUCCUUCCAGCAUCGGAUUGCUCCAACAAAAGCAGCAUAAGGGUGGUGCGGUUCACACCCUUUGUCAAUGAGAGUUAUGGCCGUGGUAGAGUCGCUUUCGAUGAUUACCUUGAAGAGCCUCUUGUCCCAAGCAAUUGGGAGAGCCGUGAGGAUACCCCAGAAUUCUGCAACUAGAACGUUGGACGACCCCAAAUUUAUGCAGAAUCCCAUCAGCCUCCUCCGCAGGCUGCUAGGCUAUUUGGGUAUAUCACCGAACCAUCAACGUUGAAUUUGGUCCAUUCUAGAGGUGGGAACUCCCAACCAAUCAAGGUGUUAGUGUAAGCCGACUGCGCAGGCCGGCCUCUGGUUUCCUUGGUUCAUGGUGCUAAGGCCGGUUUCCAUAGCUAGAUGGUUAGCCAUCGCCAAGACGUUGCUGGGGUGAAAGGUUGGUUUUGAAAAACCACAAGGUUUCUGUUUUUCCAGAUGCUCCAUAACAGGAAGCCAAAGUGUUUUAGUCCAAAUGGACGUUCCUUGGAUGUUGCUCCCUAGUUUAGAUUAUAGUUAAGUGAAAGCACAUAAUUACUCCUUUUAAGUGCAUUACUUAACCUAAUUACCUAAGACCUAAGUCAUGAUUAAUCAGGGAGUAAAUGAGAUAAAGAAAUUAUGAUUUUUUAAUAAAUGUAAUGUAACUACAGACAAGAAAGUAACAAAUUAAAUACGUAGAUAUGCAAUGCAAUAAUGCCGGUCCAACGUAAGAAGAGAUUUAACUCAUUCAGAGGUAAUGACCAAUUUCGGAAACUGUUAUAUUACUUUAGUAAUAUUUUUAAUAAAAAAUAAUUUCAAAAGCUGAAAUGAUCGAGCUAAGACAAUGACUUAAUAUUUUUAAUAAAUAUUAUUUCAAAUUUCGAAAGCUAAAUUGAUCGAGAUAUUCGAAGCGAUAGUGAUACCAACGGAUGAUUGUCGUUUUUUUCUUUCUAAGGACAAGGAUGACAAAUUGACAAUAGCCCAACUGCAAAUAUUGAAAAAGGUGAUAAAAUAUGACGUAAAAGAAACAAUGUAUAGUGGAGAUAUUUAUCCUUAAAAUAUAAUGCAGUGGAUAAGAGUGACGACUUUCUGCAUAAGCUCACACCAUGUGAUCCCUAAAUUAUCAACGAUUUUCCUUCACAAAUACUACUUGAUUUGGAUUUGAGUGCAAAGUUAGGUAAAUGAUAACCAUUAAUAAAGCCAAUUGGCGCGAAUUUCGUCCAACGGUGUUAAAAAGUUGUAUGAAUUAAUAUUUAUAUAUAUAAGCUAUAUUUUUUCAAAUGUAAAAAAAUUAUAUAUAUAUAAGAUCUAAAUCCUUUUUAUCCUACUCGACUCAGAAGAUAAUUACUUUGGUGGAUAAUAUUUGUAAUUUGUGGCUUAAACAAAAUAAAUUUCAAUUUAUUUGGGUCCAAAUGUCAAUCAACUCUAUCCUCAUCCCUAAACGUUAGCCUCACAGAAUCAUUUGUUCAACCACAAAUUAAAUAAUUAGUAUUUAAAUAUGGUGAAUUAUUGGUCGUUUUUAAGUUGUAAUUUACCUGAAGAAUUUCAUCCUAUCAAUCCAGUUGUUUUUUUUUGAGCGUAUCAAUCCAGUUGUUGUAAUUACUAAUUAGGCUGAAGAAUUUCAUCCUAUCAAAUUUUUUUUUAACAUGGUUUGAAAUAAUAUUAAGAAAUAGACAUAGAAGCCAAUAAAUCAUCAAUUUCAUCCUAUCAAUCUAGUUGUGCAGUAACUAAUAAUAAAGUGUUAAAUAAGUGGAAAAUAAACUAGGCUUACGUAAAAAUGAAAAUACAAUUUUAAAUUAUAGAAAAAACAUUUACUAAAAAGAGAUACAGAGAUUUCGUGAAUGAGUAACAACAUUUGUAAAAAGUUAACUAGUUCCUGAAUGAUAACUCAAGUGUAAGAGUUAUGAGACAUAUGAGUUUGGAUGAGAAAGUUCAGAAAUCAAUAAUCGGAAGAAACAAUUUAAAGAGAAAAGAGAUUUUUUGCUAUAUAUUAUAUUCAAGAUAUAUAUAAUACAUGAUUACAUGACAAAGUAAGCAACUUUGGGCUUUGAUUAAUAAUCCAAGCAGGAUUAAUUAAAACAUAAAAGCCUUUUAAUUUAUACAAGCUAGUUUUGAUCAUGUGAUCAUCAUCGGAGCUUAAGAAAAGGAUCGAUUAACAUACACAUGGAGCAGGGGCUCACUAUGGAGAAACAGAAACCACAUGAUGAUGCUUGUUAUUGUUAGCAGGCAUGGAUUUGGAGCGUUUCAUCCAACUUGGUGGUGAUGAUGAUGAAUUAGAAGCCCCUGAACGAUGAAAACGGCACCGGAAAGAGCCUUCAUGUGUGGUUGGAGAACAGAGGCACUGUCCUUUGGGACAAGACAUCACUGAGCCUGACACGGUGUUGCUGCCACCGCUGUCACUUUUCGGUGAUGUUGAGACGGUGAGGUUAGCAUGAUGACCCUGCUGAAAUUGAGAAGCCAUGGUGAUUGAUGAAAUUGGUGAUGGAUGAAGCUGGAAGGACUAGAAGGUUCAAUUAUAUAGAGAAGAAAAGUGCACCUUCCUAGGCCACUCUAUUGUUUGUUUGGAUUAUAAAAUACCAUAUUGUUAUCCUGAUCAACAGUGAUCCUUUGAUCACUUAUUUGUCCACUUGUGUAACUGCAUCAUAGGAUAGGGUAGGACAUCAAAAUGAAUUUAUCAUUAUUCAAUUGCUAGGACCACCAUAUUAUUUACA